rnacentral:lncRNA from 1 species
UUAAGGGUUGCUUUAGAAGGAGUUUUCAUUAAUCAUUUUGGAAGUGAAAUAGCAGAAGAAGCUUUUGAAAGGACUAUCCUCAAAAGCGAUGAAACUUCAACAUGGAUGAAAACGAAUUAUAAAAAAGCAUGUCAAUUAUUUAUCGCUUUGAAGCGUAAAUAAGUUUCUAUAGAGAAAUUCAUAUAUUAUAUAAUUCAGGUCUAUGGUGUGAUGUGACACAUCUCAUAGAUUGAAAUUUUUAUUUGUCUAUUUUUUUAAAUAUUUUUGACUUUAUCAUCGUACCUUUCACUUAGGGGUCGUUUGGUAGAGUGUAUUGAAAUGUUAAUGCAUCCAUUAGUUUAAUAUGUAUUAGUAGUACCUUGUUUGGUAUACCUUUUUACCCUAUGUAUAACUAAUGCAAGCAUUAGUUAUACACUCUAUUGUGUAUUAAAGUGUGUAUUACUAAUACCUCAAAAUCCAUGGCAUUAGUAAUGCAAUGGAUCUAAUGCACGCAUUAACAUGCUUAAAGACCCUAUUACCCCUCAAAAAAUUUUCUGCAUCCUUUCCAACAUAUAUAUUGAGGGUAUUAUAUAACAAAAAAUUUUUUUUAAUAGAAAUUAUGUAAUUCAUAAUUUUUUUAAUACAUUGAACCAAACACUACAUAAGAAAAAUACAAGCAUAAUUAAUGCCAGCAUAACAAACACAAGCAUUACUAAUACACCAUAUUUUGAAUUAUUCUUAUACACUCUACCAAACGACCCCUUAAUUUGUUCUACAAUUACAUUAAACUACCCACAAUAUGCUUGUAGAAAAUGUUGUCAAUCCUUCUUUUGUAGCACUUUUUUCAAGCUUCAGUGUGACAAAACUAGCCCAAACCUAUUUGACCAGCCCAACUCACAAAGUGAUUUUGAAGAUGUACUGAUUUGAGUCAGCACAAUUGAACCAUCAUAAAUCAACCCAAUGGGCUCAUAAUGAUGCCCAACUUUGUCCCAUAAAGAUAUUUAAACCUACUACUUAUAGUCCAAUUUUUUUAUAUUUUUAAUUUUUUUUAGUUGCUUCAAUUAUAUUCUUUUUCCGUCUUGAAAAAAUUAUUGUAAUAAAUAAUUUUUUAAUAAAAAUAAAGUGAAUUUAAUUCCCCCGAAACUCUAUACCCAGUAUUGGCCGGCUGACGGUGUAAUACGCGCGCCACUCUCGUUUUUACACGUGUAUCCAACCUCAUAUUUACACUUGUCCAAGUGGACAGAUAUAUGCUAUUAAAAUGCGAAAAAAAAAGUCUAGGGAUAAUAGGACCCCCGCAAAGUUCUGUAUGCGCUCAACUGAAAAUCUGAUCAAAGUUCAGAUAUUUUUGUGAGUAUUAUCCCUAAAACAUAUGAGCAUGCAUUUUAAAUUGAGGUUUCUUUCUUUUUUUAUGUAGGGAAUGCUAGAUGAAUCUCUAUUUGACUCGUUUAAUUUGCCAAUGUAUUUUCCUUCUCCUGAAGAUAUGACUAAAGUGGUGGAGAAAAAUGAUUGUUUUAGUAUUGAGAUAAUGGAGUUGACAUAUCUCAAAUCAAAGCUUGUGGAAGAGACUGAUGCAAAGACUUUAUAAUGAUAAAUCUAAGGGCUGUUUUAGAAGGACUAAUAAUAAAUCACUUUAGAAGUAAAAUAGCAAAAGAAGCUUGUGCAAGGACUAUUCUCAAAAGUAAAGAGAUUUCGACAUGGAUUAAAGCGAAUUAUGAGAAAUCAUGUCAAUUGUUUGUCGCUUUGAAGCAUAAAUGAAUUUCUAGGGAGGAAUCUAUGGCAGAAGUUUAGUAACUAGUCGAGCAUUGUCUAAGUAAUUUUCCUUUAAAAUAUUGUCAUUAUUAUCUGCAUUUUAUUUGCUUCGCUUGCUAUAUUAUUUGUUGUUUCUACUGUUCUUGUGACUCUUAUUUUUAGCUAUUUAUUGUUGCUACUGAACUGUUUUUCAUUAUUUUUAACCUAACUUCUUCAAUGAUGUAUUUUCCCUUUUCUUUCAUACUUUGUGAUAUACUAUUUAUUUUGCUUGAACCAAGAAUCUGUUAAAAACACCUCUCUGACUCCAUGGGGGGACUAAUGAUGAUAAUGUACUAAAAUAGUCAACACACAUUCAUAUUUGAAACUUUUCGAAAAAUUGCUCGAGCUUUAGUAAAAUUUAGAGCACAAUCAUAUUUGAAAUGAUUUAUUUCUGAAAGAUCUCUGAUUAAAGGGGAGAUCCCUGAUUUUGUGCAAACGACUUUGUCAAAGAAAAUAACUGAGUAUCCGAAACUCAGAGAGAAAAAAAAAGACUCUGAUACCAAGUUGAAUAAAGAGAGAUUCAGAACAUUACAGAUAAAGGGAUCGUGAUUUCUUUCACGAAUUAGAACAGUAGAGUAUACAUUGAAUUUAUAAAAAGAAAGGGGUCAUAAUUGUCUUCUAAUUACUAGCCUUUCUAAUUACUAGCCUAGUAACCUGAUAGAUCCCUGAUUUAUUCUAAAGGAUCUCUGAUUAAAGGGGAGAUCCCUGAUUUUGUACAAACGACUUUGCUAGGAAAAAAAAACUGAAUAUUCCGAACUUAGAAAGAGAAAAAAAUGAGACUCUGAUAUCAAGUUGAAUAAAGAGAGAUUCAAAACAUUAAAGAUAGAGGUAUCGUGAUUUCUUUCACUAAUUAGAACAGUAGAGUGUACAUUACUUUAUACAAAAAAAAAAAGUAGCUCUAAUUGUCUUCUAAUUACUAGCCUAGUAACAAAGGAUAUCUCUGAUUUAUGAUUAAAGGAUCUCUAAUUAAUGGGGAGAUCUCUGAUUUUCACAAUGCUAAAUAAGCUACGGACUAAAUAAGAUACAUAUUUUAUGAAGCUAAAUAAGCUACGGUUAAUAACUUCCAUCUCAUACUAUUUCAUCUCGAGCUAUCAUCGUUGGCCUUGACAUGAAACCACUAUCUAAGCAUAUAUUUUCAGCCUGAACUUGUGUGCUUAUCCUCUUUGAAUGCAUAAUAAAAUAGCUUUCUCGUUAUAUAUAUUUCACAAAUAAAAUAAAGCAUAAAUUCAUGAAUAAUUUACUAUAUAUAUUAACCGUCAACUAAAUAUUGCAUUAGUUAUAUCAAGAUUAUUUUUUUUCUUAUACAUCCAACCAAACAUAGUGCAUUAAGUAGUUAUGCAUAGAUCAUUUUUUUUCUACCAAUCAAACCGUUUAAAUUGGAUUUGUUAUGUUUUAAAAAGAUACUUUCUGCGUUUGGUUUUACUUCAUUAAUAAAAAUAAUGUUUACAUUGUCUUAAAAUUAAUUUAAAGAAAAUAUAACUAAUGCUAAGGGUAAAAUAGGAAAAAAGAAAUUUUUUUUUUUUAUAUGUCAAAAAUGACUGUGAAAGUAGAAACACAAUUAGGAAAUUAGUGACAAGUAAAAGUGAACAGAGGAUGUAUUAAAUAUUCAUUCUCGUCUUACAAGUCAACUGUGUGUGAUAUUAUCAUCCAUUUUGAUAAGAUUAUUCUUGAGGAAUAAAUUUAAAACAUAAAUGGUUCCAAAUCAAUUAUUUUUCCUCAAAUUCAACAAUAAUUAUAUUAACGUUGAAAGCAGAGUCUCGUGCUGAUAACGUAUUAUGAAAUAACUAAGAAUAAAGAAGAAAAGUAUAGAGAGAAUAGAUCAACUAGAUUUUGAUAGAUCUUAUCUAUAUAGACAUUCAAUAUAAUGUAAAUACAUUUAUAACAUAUGUAUUAAAUUUAAACAAAUAAAUCCAAGACUUUUUAUUAAGUUUUUUUUUAGGCUAAUUUCCUGCUUUUAUAAAGUAAAAAAUUUAAUAGCUUGUUUGGUUGAAGUGAUAAAGAAAAAUACUUAAAUAGUAUAAAAUCUCUCAUAAAUAUAGAAAUUACAAAUUUAACUCAUGAAACCAUGAUUUGUCCAACUUACUCAAAUUUAUUAAUUUAUCUCAUUUAAAAGUGAAUUAGGUUGAUAAGUAGUACAAAUUAACCCAUAAAAAAAUUGUCAUAAUAUUUUUUUGGAGAUUAUAAAUUAUAUAUAGCUAUAAUAAAAAAAAUAAUUUUAUUAAUUCAUCACAGAAUUAUAAAAGGACAAAUAAAAAAAAUUGUAACUUAAUAAGAAUUUAUUUCUGUCCAACACAUGCAUGCCAUUUAGUCAAAAUAAAGCAAUUUAAUUUCUUUGGCCCAACACUAUUUUAGUGAAAUUGCCAACAUUUCUCUGGUUGCUUGAUUAUGAAAUGUCUCAUUAUAAUCACUUUUAGUAGUUUGAUAAAUAUGAUUAACUGACUAUAUUUAUGUAAUAUUAAAAUUGGUUCCCAGCUAAUCAAACACAAACCUCCAUUCACCCUGUGCAUUCAUUUUGGGAUAUUUUCAAAAAUAUACCAUUUGAAAAAAAUAAUUAUAUUAUUAGCUCGUUGCAUGGGCUUUACCUAGUGCGGUUUACAUCUCCUGUGUGGUUUACGAGCAAUUGCACAGCGAGGGGUUUACCCAGUGCUCACCACAGAGUGCUCACCCAAAGGGCAGAUGUUGUAGCGGCUCUAGGUUAUCUUGAAAUUUCAAAAAAAAAAAAAAAACAUUAUGCGACUUUAUAUAAUAUUAUGAAUUUACGGUAUAAAAAUCUCUCUCUCUCUCUCUCUCUCUAUAUAUAUAUAUAUAUAUAUAUAUAUAUAUAUAUAUAUAUACUAGUUUAGCUAGACAUGCCUCGCACGUGUAACAUUUGAUUAUUUAAAAUUAAAUGAUUUUAUCUAUUGCAAAGAUUUUAAUGAAGUGUAAAAGUUUAAAUCACUUUAAAAGAUUCUUCACACUUUAAUAUAAUAACGUAAACAUAAACAUACUUUUUACUGUAAGCACACAUAUAUAUUUUGCAUCAUCACUUUUACGUUUGUUAUGCAGUACCUCCUUCCCUUGAUGUCAUAGACUAAGAGAGACGCAACAAUUUGAAUCAUAUUUGUGAUAUGGUUAUUUUUUUUUUUGUUUCUAUAUUUAAAAUUCUUCCUUGUUUUUAAAGUCAAAUAUUUACAAAUUCAUUGUUAUUACGUACUUAAAACUUUUUAAAAUUUGGAACUUUUUGAUUUUUUUCUUAUUUUAACGCUUUUACAUUUAUUUCUAGGUUUUUCAAAUCUUCUUUAAAUCACUUAAAACUUUUAAACAUUUGGUACUUUUUGAAUUUUUCUUAUUUUAACGCUUUUAUAUUUAUUUCUAGAUUUUUCAAAUCUUCUUUAAAUCAAAUUUAGUUGAUUUAGAAUUCUAAAAUUAAUGAAAAAAAAUAUUAGUUAUCAUUAAUUCUGAUGACUUCUAAUAAGGAAAGAUUUUACCAUAAAUAUAUUUAAUUAAUUUUCAACUCUUUUAUAUUAGUAAAAAAAAUAGUGAAAGAUUUUACCAUAAAUAUAUUUAAUUAAUUUUCAACUCUUAAAUAUAAAUAUUAGAAAAAAAUAGUGAACAUACGAUUUUGUCUAAUGCAAAAAACUUUUAAUGAAGGGCAAAAAGUUCAAAUUACAUUUCUAAGACCCUUCACACUUUUAAUAUAUUAUAGAUAUAUCACACCCCUUUUUCCACUCCGAAAGGAUAAGAUUUUCAGUUUGAAAGGAUUUUUAUUAUUAAAGUGACAAAAGAUUAAAAAUUUAUUUUGAAAAAGGACUAUUUACAUUUUUUAUUCAGAGUCGUCACUUGGCAUAAUCCGGUGUGCCAAGUCACCUUUGGAAAAUCCUUUUCAAAACUGUUUUGACUUUUUUAAAACUGGUUUGCGAACAGAGAUUCCAGCUAAGGAAUUCUGUUGACCGAGGAAAAGGUGUUAGGCACUCCUCGAUUCCGUGGUUCGACCAUGGUCGCUUGGUAGAGUGUAUCGGCUAAUUUUAAUACUAUGAAUGUACAAACCACACACAAAAAAAAGAUCAAUCAAACAAACAAAUCCAAAACAAUGUCCAGUCCAAAUUAUACAAUCCCAAAAAUUGUAAUAAAAAAAUGCAAAAAUGUAAAUCGUAUUCUAAACUAAUCCUAGACUAAUGCUCUACCCAACGCUUCGGGUCUUUCUCACGAAUGUAUUUCGAGUACAAGAUACCUCGGGGCAUUCCCCGACUAAAUAAAUACAUUUUUCAGUGUCAGAAAAUCUAAACUAUUCAAUAGAACUUCAAACAUUCAACAGAAUUUCAAAUAUUCGACCAAACACUUAAUCCUAAAUUUUUGCCUACCCAAACCUAUAUUUACCUAUCCGUUGCAACAUGAUCCUAUCAAGUUCACAAACCUGAUAUUUAUUCCAAAUUAAACAAAGCAACAAUAGAUCAAAGUUAACCCAAAUGCAUCUUACCAAACAUGCAAUUCCCAUCCCUCAUUUCAUGCUCAAUCACACGCUUAAUUCAUUCUUCGAUUAACGAUUCAAUUUUCUCUUCAAAAUCCAAAACCAACCUCAACCGUACACACAAAAAAUAUUCAAGCAUGGCAAGCACACAAAGACAUUCAUCUACAAAAAUAAUCGAGAUUCAAGAUAAAGAUAGAGAACGAGAGAAGAAAUGGACCUCAAAUUUUGCUUUUAUGAAUGUUAUCCUGUUGAAACAAAAGAGAAUUCGCGCCGAGAACCUCGACAAUGAACCAAACUCCAACCCGGUAUUUGGGAAAUUGUAACCUCGAACAGAGUAUUUGGGAAAUUGUAACCUCGAACAGAGUAGCAACAGAGCAAUCUGCCCAGAAACUAUUUCAACAAAGGAAAAUCGAUGAACCCAAAGCCCGAUUUUGAAACUAAAAUGCUAAGACAGAUGAUCCAAAGCCUCAGUCAACACAAUAAAAGACCAAAACUGAUGUAUCUUGAGCUUCGGUGAGCUCAGACGGAAGCAAAACACAACGGAUUAAGACAGAUUCUGGAUCGACGAGGCCUAAAACCGCUGGACAACCACUGGUUCCGGCGAGACUAGCUGUUUGACUGUUUCCGACCAGAUUCAUCCAAGAUAGGGAGAAAACCUAGAGAUUCCGGUGAAGUAGUCGCCUGAACAGUGACUAAACGCACAAAAAAAUCUUUUUCCCCUUUGAUUCUCACUUCAUCUCACCCACUUUUCUUCUUUUCUCAUUGUUUUCACUCAUGUUUUCGAAUUUCAAUCAGUGUGUAUGUAGUGUGUUUGUGAAGAAAAGAAAGAAAUGAAAAUGGAGCUCUUUAAGUGGUCUGUGUUAGGAGUGUGCAUCAAUGGUGGAGUUCUAUUGUUGUUCUACCAUGGAAAUUAAAAAAAAAUGGAGGUGGUCUAUAUUUCUAAAGUGGGGUGAGGGUCAAAGAAAGAAAGAAAAAACAUUGAGAGUCGUUCCCUGAUGAAGAUGAUCCUAAAAAAAAAAUGGGUCCUCUUUUCCUUUUCCUUUGUGAUCAAGAAAUGUGAGGAAAAAAACGGGGGCACUUGAGUGGGGGGUGAGAUGAUUUAUUUUGAUUGGGUAGGUUGUUAGGAUAAGAUAAAAUUAGGUAGAGGUUAUUGUUUUGUUAUUUUGUGGAGGGAUUAUAACAUGGGUGAGGGUACAUGGUAGGAUAAAGUAAAAAAUAGGUAAAAAUAAUAUCGGGGAGAAACGAAAUUAGGUGUCUACAAGAUAUAGAUUAUAGAUUAUAAAUUAUAUAUAUAUAUAUAUAUAUAUAUAUAUAUAUAUAUAUACACGUGCAUAAUGUAUAAGAGGUGUUUAAAUAUACUUUUAGGUUGACAUCUUAUACAUAAUUAUACACAUUUAAAUAUCAGUUCAUAUAGGCAAAUAACCCUUCCCUCUUUACUAGGUUCCUCUUUUUUUCCCUAUUUAUUUGUGUCACCUUGACAUAAUAACCCUUUUUAUAAAUCCAAAAAACUUAUUGCUUCAUCAAUGCAACUGUUUGAGUUUUCAACAGUGAAAUUUUACAAAUAAUGAUGACAAAAAUAGUUUUCUCAUAUAACAAAUAAAGUUCAGCUAUUUUGGUAUUACAGUUGGUAAAGUAUAUAUGAGUUGUAUAUAUUUACUAUUUAAAAAAAAAAUACUUAUUUGUCAAAGCGUGGUGUUAAACAGUGCAACUGCAUCCACAUUAUAUCUCUGUAUAAGAACAUGCAUGUGUGAAGAAAAUAUUGAGAAAUAAGGUGAAGAAAAAGCAUAUAUAUAUAUAUAUAUAUAUAUAUAUAUAUAUNNNNNNNNNNNNNNNNNNNNNNNNNNNNNNNNNNNNNNNNNNNNNNNNNNNNNNNNNNNNNNNNNNNNNNNNNNNNNNNNNNNNNNNNNNNNNNNNNNNNNNNNNNNNNNNNNNNNNNNNNNNNNNNNNNNNNNNNNNNNNNNNNNNNNNNNNNNNNNNNNNNNNNNNNNNNNNNNNNNNNNNNNNNNNNNNNNNNNNNNNNNNNNNNNNNNNNNNNNNNNNNNNNNNNNNNNNNNNNNNNNNNNNNNNNNNNNNNNNNNNNNNNNNNNNNNNNNNNNNNNNNNNNNNNNNNNNNNNNNNNNNNNNNNNNNNNNNNNNNNNNNNNNNNNNNNNNNNNNNNNNNNNNNNNNNNNNNNNNNNNNNNNNNNNNNNCCACCCCCUUCGUCUUCACUCACACACACAGAGAUCGUCCUCAUCCCCCUCCCCCGUUGUCUUCAUUUUUUCAUUCUUGAUAAGCAAAAUCAUCAAAAUAACAAAUUGUAAAUCAGCAAAAUGUCAAAUUUUACAAAAGAACCCAUCACAGAUUAAACAAAAAUAUUUAUAUUUAAAUCAUCAAGAGCAAAUAGUAAACCAUCAAAAUUUUGAAUUUUGCGAAAAACCCAUUAUACAUUAAGCAAAAUCAAACCAACCCAAAAAUAAAAUACAUUAAAAUAAUGCAAAAUGGGUGUAUUUCAACUUUUCUAAGUUCGAUUCUCCAUUCUUGACAAUUUCGAGCAACAAAAUUGAAGACACGAUGCAACAAUAUUUGAAGCAAAACCAAAAAAGUUUGCUAAACAAAGAGAAAAUGAAAAAUCUCCAUCACCAACUAAAAGUAUUUGAUGAAAUGAAGAAUAAUAUUGUAUUAUUUUCUCUUCUUCUUCAUCGUCUUCAUUUAUUACUAUUGGGUUUUCUUCUUCUACUGCAUCCACCAUAGCUAUUGCACUUUUUCAUUUUUAUUUUUUGCUUUCUUGAUUGUACUGGUACUAUUGGGGGUUGACAACGAUUUGUUGGGGGUGCGGGUUGAUGAAGACGACGAUGAAUGUGAUUGGGGACGAUCUGGGGGUGGGGGUUGAUGAAGACGAUGAUGAAUGGGGUGGGGGUGCUUUUAUUUUAUUUUUAAUUAAAAAAUUAUAAUAAUUCAAAAUUAUGUUAGUCAAAUAAUUUAAAUAUAAAUUUUUUAAUUAAAAAAAUGAAAUAUUUUUUAUUUUACUAUUCACGCACCCAAGAAGAGUGUAACACACUCUUCUUGCCAAAUCAACAUUUUGUGCCUAAUAGGUAUCAAUUUUAGCACUUGAGGUGUCUGAUAGGUACAAGCCUUAAUUUAGGGGGUUAUGUGAAUUUUCGAGACAACUUUGAGGUCCUAUCGAUGGAUUUGGCCUUAUUCAANNNNNNNNNNNNNNNNNNNNNNNNNNGAUGGUCCUUAUAGCUACUUCAAAAACUUCCAUUUGUAGGUAUUAAUUAAUAUAUAUUUUAAUUAGUGCCACUUAAGUAUUUAGUAGAUAUCUUUUGAUUUACCUUACCUAGGUUAAACUCUAUUUUAUAAUUGCAUGCAGAAAGAAGUGUUAGAUGGUUCAAAAGAGAUGCUGAGAGAUGCAAUUACUGAAAAGCUUGACAUCAAAAAAAUUAUGUUAUCAUCUUUAAACACAAUACGUAUUGCAGAUUUGGGAUGUUCAGUUGGACCAAACACUUUCAUUGCAAUGCAACAUGUUGUACAAGCUCCAAAAGACAAGUACCAUGAUAACAUUCUUGAAUUUCAAAUAUUUUUCAAUGAUCAUGUUACUAAUGAUUUUGUUAAGGCAUGUGGAGUUUUGAUGAUAUACAUGUGAAUGAAACAUGUUGUGAAAGUUGGUCCAUUUAAGUGUACAAAGAAAAGUUGCAGGCAAGACUGUUGAUAAGAUGAUAUUGCGCAUAGACAGGAGUGGAUAAGCAAGAAUAUUCAGGAACCUUCUCAAACACUUAUCACUUUAGUAAAGUGGAAGAAAAAUGCGAUACUCAGAAGUUGAGUUGAUCUAGAAGUCCAACAAUGAGAAGAGUUCUGCAAGGAUAAAGGAUAAAGCAAAAGAGUCCUAUUCAACCAGGGGAGGAGAAACGGCUACAACAAGGAGUGAAGUUACUUGAUAGAGUUGAAAGAAGAAAGAAGCAUAAAUCAACUAGGACUCCAUCAACUAGGACUCCAUCACAGGUGUAUUACAAGUGUGCAUAUAUACAACAAAGCACGAUCAAGUAACUCACUCAAUGCACUAAAAAGAAAUUGAACUAUCAGCAAAACAUUUCUCAUACUUCAAGAAGAACCUUGUUCCUUACUUAAGUCGUAGACUAUGUGUAGUAGGUAGGUUCUUUGAGUUGUAAAAAGUCAUUGUUCUAGUCUCAGUGAUCUAUAAACUGAGUUAGGAGUUGCGUCUUCAAGUUAGGGAACUCGAAGACUUGGGAACACUUAUCUUGGGAAGAUUUGUGUUUUUGUAGUGAUAGGAGUUAGAAGUUUUAAUUCCUAGUUUACAAGAAGUCUUGUAACUUGAUUGAUUGUUGAGGCUCAAGUAUUAUAGUGAAGUUGGGGUUAAAUCCUGUAGAGGUACAGGUCGUAAUUUUCUACUACAGUUAGAAAGGUUACACUAAACCUUUACAUUGCUGAUAUUGCUAGGAUUCUGCAUAUUCCCUCUGGGUGGUGGGGUCACUAUGUCAAAGGAAGUUUGCCACCUCUUGAUAAUCUUGCCUCGGCUCUUGACAUAUGUAGAAAGUAAUCUGAGAAUCCCCACUUGGUCAAUCAUAGAAAGUGUUUAAGAGGGAGAUGUAUCCUCUUCACCAACUAUACUUUGAUGUAGUGCAUAAGAUAAUUCUUCCUAGGAAGGAAAAAAGGACUGUGGCUAGCUUUCUUGAUCUCACUCUCAUGAAAUUAUUAGAUACUGAAGUAAGAAUUAAUUUGCCUCGACUCAUACUAAAGCAUAUGCAAAGGGUUCUACUCAAGGAAGUAAAUGGACAUGCUCUAUCUUAUCAAUUCUGGCUCACCCCCAUAUUUGAGGACUUUGGUGUUUCUAUUCAAGUGUGGUCUUCACAGGCUACCAAGUAUAUCAUAGGUCAUGUGAACCACAUAAUGCUACCUGUUUCCAUGAGGAGUAUUGAUAAUCCGAUGCAAAGAUUGAGAAAUUCACUAGCUGAAAAACAAGCUGAGGUAGAAGUUGUUUAGGCAGCUUUGGAGGCUGCACAGGCUGCUCAUGAAGAAGAAAAAGGGAUCCUACAUGCUCAAAUUGCUUCCCUUAAUUCCUUGUUGGAAAAAGAGAUAACUGAAAAUGCAGAUGUUAUUAGGAAACUCACCUCUCUUAUUCCCUCCCCUGCUUCUACUUAGCCUCUUGACUGAUAUCUAAAGCCUAUCUACUUUUCUUCCUUUCCCUGUUAGCUUAUUCUCUCUUAGUUUACUUUUUGGUAUAUGUCGUCAUCUCUAUUAAUGAAUGAAAUAGGCUUAGUUGUUUUACUAUUUUCUGCUCCUGUUUUCUCAUAUUGCAUUCAUGUUCUCUUAUUCUGAAUUUUGAUUGUCUUAGUGAUAGCCUCAAUGGCCAUGAAUUAUUAGACAUUUUUCACUUGGUGAGCCAGCUUUUCGAUGAUGUCAAAAGGUGGAAGAGUAGGCUAUGCAAUGAUUAUAACUCAAUUGGACUAACCUAUUUCAUUUUGUGCUAUUCUUUUAUUCAAAUUCCUUAUUGAGUAUGUCAGGGGUAUGUGAUGUUGUGCUGCUAUGUUUGUCAUCAUCAAAAAGGGGGAAUUUGUUAAGGCAUGUGGAGUUUUGAUGAUAGACAUGUGAAUGAAAGAUGUUGUAAAAGCUGGUCCAUUCAAGUGUACAAAGAAAAGUUGUAGGCAAGACUACUGAUAAGAUGAUAUUGCACAUAGACAGGAGUGGAUAAGCAAGAAUAUUUAGGAACCUUCUCAAAACUUAUCACUUCAGUAAAGUGGAAGAAAAAUGCAAUACUCAGAAGUUGAGUUGAUCUAGAAGUCCAACAAUGAGAAGAGUUCUGUAAGGAUAAAGGAUAAAGCAAAAGAGUCAUAUUCAACCAGGGGAGGAGAAACUGCUACAACAAGGAGUGAAGUUACUUGCUAGAGAUGAAAGAAGAAAGAAGCAUAAAUCAACUAGGACUCUAUCACAGGAGUAUUAAAAGUGUGCAUAUAUACAAUAAAGCACGAUCAAGUAACUCACUCAAUGCACUGAAAAAAAUCAACAAUCAGCAAAAUAUUUCUCAUACUUGAAGAAGAACCUGUUUCCUUACUUAAGUCAUAGACUAUGUGUAGUAGGUAGAUUCUUUGAGUUGUAAUGAGUCAUUGUUCUAGUCUCAGUGAUCUAUAAACUGAGUUAGGAGUUGUGUCUUCAAGUUAGGGAACUCAAAGACUUGGAAACACUUAUCUUGGGAAGAUUUGUGUUUUUGUAGUGAUAGGAGUUAGUAGUUUUAAUUCUUAGUUUACAAGAAGUCUUGUAACUUUGUUGAUUGUUGAGGAUCAAGUAUUAUAGUGAAGUUGGGGUUAAAUCCUAUAGAGGUACAGGUCAUGGUUUUUUACACCUUUCUUGAGCCGGGUGUUUUCCACGUAAAAACACUUUUUUAGCUUUUACUUCUGUGAACCACGUUUACUUACCUGUUCCACUAAUAGGCAAUUAGUAGGGCUCGUACUCUAACCAGUGGUAGGAUUUCUUAAAUAAGGCUAGAACCUAAGAAAAGAUCAACAUGAUGAAUUUCGCACCUCCUACUAGUCACAGUGAAGGCCAGUCAACUACUAGACUUCCACUUUUUUAUGGCUCUCAUUUUAUCUGGUGGAAAGCAAGGGUGGAGAUGUUUAUUCAAGGUGAAGACUAUUAAUUGUGGGACAGGAUUACUGAUGGUCCUACUAUUCCAAUGAAGAUGGUAUAUGGUGAACAAGUCAAGAAGGUAAGGAGUGAGUUUACUCCUAAUGACUUAUUGGCGUUGAAGAAAAAUGAAAAGGCCAAGAACAUAUUGGUCUAUGGAUUAGGACCUGUUGAAUAUAACAAGGUAUCUACCUGUACUACUGCUAAGCAAAUCUGGGAUGCACUGGUGAAUGCCCAUGAAGGCACCUUGCAAGUAAGAAAAUUCAGGAUCUCUCUUCCAUGUACUGCGUAUGAGGCAUUCAAAAUGAAAGAAAAUGAAACCCUGCAUGAAAUGAUGACAAAUCUUACCACCUUGACAAAUGAGUUGACUUUCCUGGGAAAGAUCAUCUCUGAGGAGGAAUAAGUUGAAAAAGUACUAAGGAUAUUGCCUAGAUCAAAAUGGAAUGUUAAGGUAACUGCAAUCAGGGAGGCAAAUAAGGAGCUUGAAGGAAUGACCCUGGAUGAACUAGUAUGGAACUUAAGGACUUAUGAAAUGAAAAUUGAUGGAACCAAAGAACAAGCUACUGAAGAUAUGACUAAAGUGGUGUAGAAAAAUGGUUGUUUUAGCAUUGAGAUAAUGGAGUUGGCAUAUUUCUAAUCAAAGCUUGUGGAUGAGGCUGAUGAAAGACUUUAAUGAUAAAUCUAAGAACUUCUUUAGAAGGACUAAUAAUAAAUCACUUUGAAAGUGAAAUAGCAGAAGAAGCUUGUGCAAGGACUAUUCUCAAAAGUGAAGAAAUUUUGACAUGGAUGAAAGUUAAUUACGAGAAACCAAGUCAAUUAUUUGUCGCUUUGAAGCACAAAUAAACUUAAGUGUGAAGGAAUCAAUAUAUUAUAUGAUGUGGCACAUCUUACGAGCAAGCUUUCUAAUUAUGUUUUUCUUUAAUGUUUUUGUGUUUUUUCUCAUUUCUUUCACUUUAUGUUCUUUAUAUAAUAUAUACAAUGAAAAUUAAAAGUUCUCUUUGUCAAUAUGUUCUUAAUUUGCCUCCCUCUCUUGCUCUUCUUCUACCCACUAGUAUGUUUUAUGUUUUAAUUCCUCCAUGCAAAAAAUAGAAAUGUAUCCCAAGGAUGUAUUUGUUGGUUUCUCACAUCAGUGGGUUAAAGGGUCCUUGGUCUCCUUAUAUGGUCUUGGGCAAUCCUCCCCUCAUGAGCUAGCUUUUGAGGUUGAGUUAGGCCAAAGUUUCAUUUAUUUAUCAGUAUUCAGAUGACAUUAAAACGAUAAGAGGAUCAUUCAUCGAGAUGACCUUCAUUUGGGGUGAUAAAGUAAUGUACACACAAGACAAAAUAGGGUUUUUUUGUCAAGAAGACUACUCAGGAUGCGAUCAUACCAACACUAACGCAUUGGAUCCCAUUAGAACUUCGAAGCUAAGCGUUCUUGGACGAGAGUAGUGUUAGGAUAGGAGACUCCCUGGAAAGUCCUCGUGUUGCAUCCCUUCUUUGAAAGAGAGUCUUGGAGUAGCUGGUAAAGUUACGUUGUUGUCAUAUGGACAGUAGGUCACAGUUUCAAGACUUGGAAACAGCCUCCGACAGAAAUACAAGGUAAGAUUACGCAAAAUACACCCUUGUGGGUGGGACCCUUUUUCGAACCCUGCGUAUUGCGGAAGCUUUAGUGCACCGAACUGCCCUGACUACUCAAGUGAGAGGACCAAAGUAGGUAUAUUUAACUAUGGAUUGAAGGGAGGGUGUCAAAGUGUCAAACCUUACAUCGAAAUGUGUUUGUGAUACCCAAAGAAACAGUAACUAAAGAUAACCAUAAAGUAACCAACAUGGGUUGUGGUGCAGCAGAUGAGGCUGCUCCACCCUUAACCAGAGGUCGAUGGUUCGAUCCUGGGCAUGGAGAAAAACUCUGUUGGGAGCUCUACCCCCCAAAUGGGACCUUACCCGGCAUGAAUACGGAUUAGUCGGGCUCCAAUGCGGGUACCGAACACUGGAUGGAAAAAACAAAAAGAUAACCAUAAAGUCAAGUCAUGUUACAGUUGUGACAAGUGCAAAAAGGUUGUAAAUUGUACUAAUAGAAAGGAAAAUAAUAUCUCAAUAAUUUACUAUACAAAUUUUGCCCAUACAAUACCAAUUAAUUAUUUGAUUGAAAUCAUCUUUUGUUAGGACAUACAAUCGAUCAAUUUUCACUCAUAUUUUCAUUUUUUAUUUUCGUGCGCACGUGCUUAUAUAGGGUCGAGACUUCAUUUAUGAGAUUAUAUUGAGUAUAUUUUUUUAUAUAAAGCGAUAUAUCAAGUUAUCUUUAUUUUUGCAACACAUAUGACAUUUUUUUCAAAGUUAAAAUUUUCAUUUUAUAUGUUGGCCGUUUUUUUAUAUAGUUGAACUCUAUAUAAGCACAAGCAUCAAAUCAAAUAACUGUUUAUUGAAUUUGUGGGCAAGAUAUAAGGUUAUAAUGGUUGUCGAAUUAUUGGAGAUAUAUUUGUUUCCUUUUACAACUUGUUAGCAUUUAUCACAUGAAAAUAUAUAUGAUGUUAUCUUUAGUUAUUGUUUUGGCAAUAUAUAUGAAAAGCGAAGCUGAGAUGAUCAGAGCAUAGGUAAAUAAAGAGUAUAAAUAUUUCAGUGAAGAGGUGCGAGACACGCUGACGGUGAUAUAUUUGAGGAGAUCGAGGUAGACCAGGGAAGAAUUAGAAAAAAGGUAAUUAGAUAGGACGUGUAUAACACAUUUUCAACUCACUGAGAACAUGACGACCUUAGCUAGAUAGGAGAGCAAGAAGGUCGAAGAUUCAUUAUUGGAGUUGGUCAAGAUUGGAGAUAAUAGAUAGAUUUAAUUAGAUCAAAACACUCCAAUAUUAUCAAGAUAUUGUUAGGAUUUUUGCCCUGAUACUUUAUUUUUCUUGAAAGAAAAAUAUAAAACUUUUUCAUAUUUGGCAAAUCUCUUUCUCGGAGGAAAGAUUUUGAUCAUCUAUGAAUAGAAACUCCUCUUUCAUACCUUAACACAAUAACAUCCAUAAUGUAGUAAUUUAAGAGUUUUGUUUAGGGAGAGAUUUUCUCUCUCAUUAGUUUCUAUGUUUUUAAUAUUAUGUUUUAUAUGUAGGCCGAUUGUCCAAAUAAUAUAAUAAUAUUAAGUUUUUAGUAUUAUUUUUUUGUCUCCUGAAUUGUCACCACAAUGAUUUGCAACUAAUAGCUUCCGCAUGACACCCUCUCGAUUUCGAACCCAACAGAUGUAAGGUAUAGUCUUUUAUUAGUUAUACCAAAAUUAUUAUUUUUUUCCUUAUACAACUAACCAAGUGCACUGCACAUGUUAUGCAUGGAUCAUUAUUUUUAGGUCAAAUUCAUCGAUAGGCACUCAAACUUGUUGCUAAAAUUCACUUAGAACCCUCAACUAUGUCUUAUACCUAUCAGGCCUCUAAACCCCUCAAAUUUUGUUUCAAUUGGGCAUUUUCUUUGACAAUCAACUAUAAAUUUAAAGUGUGUGAAUUACACUCGCGGUGACGUGGCAAUUUAACAAAUAGAAUAAUGACACGUGGCUGUAUGAGUAUAAAAAUUAUUUUAAAAUAUAUUAAAUUAAAAAAAUUAUUUUAAAUUAAAAAAAUAAACCUUCUUCUUCAUCUUCACUCUUCUUCUCCAUCUUCACUCUUCUUCUUCAUUUUCACUCCAUUUCCGGCGAGAUUUUUUCGACGAGUCACUUUCUCUAUUUCUUCCGGCGAGUCUUCUUCCUUCUAUAGCUAGCAAUAUGAACCCAGAUUCAGUUGGGUCAUUUCUAAAAAGGGAAAAGACAUUGUUUCCACCCUAAACUAUACCCGAAAAGUCGAAGUCACACCUAAACUAUACUAAUGACCUAUUACACACCUAAACUAUAAAAAAGUGAAACUAUUUAUACCCUAUCAGGCUACCACCACUUGCAUGUGGUGUAGUGUUUUACACGCGUUGCCACGUCAGCACCACGUCAGUAAAAAGUAUCACUUUUUUUAUAGUUAAGGUGUGUAAUAGGUCACUUAUAUAGUUUAGGUGUGGAUUCGACUUUUCGACUAUAGUUUGGGGUGGAAAUGAUGCCUUUUCCCUUAAUGUUUUUAACCAUUUACUUUUGUUAUUUAAUAGGUUGGACGCGCCUAAAAUAAGUGUAACGCACGCGCCUUAGAAUGGGGGUCGCGGGGAGGUAAUAAUAUCACUUUUAUAUAGUUAAGAUGUGUAAUAUGUCACUUAUAUAAUUUAGGUAUGACUUAUACUUUUCUUGUAUAGUAUAGGGUGAAAAUGAUGUCUUUUCCCUUUCAAAAAAUUACCAAAGGCUACAUAAUCUAUCAAUCUAAAAAAUCACUCAUAACUGAAAUUCCAAAUAGUAAGCAUUUUCUUGAUCUAUUUUUCAGCUAUUCAAUGUAAAAUGUUUAUUUUCUUGAUCUAUGUUAAUUUCUUAAUUUGUUUUCUAUAAUUUAUUUUAUUAUCAAACAAAAUUUUAAUAAAAAAUUAUUAUAGCUACAUAUAUAACAUAUCAAAAAAACAUUUAAAUAUUUUUAUAAGUUCUUCAUGGUUCUUUGAGUCCAGAUCGGUGCAAUAUUUAGAAGAGUUAAAUUUGGGCAAGUCAGUGCAAUUUAUUUACUUGUAAGUAUGUAUUGUGCAUCCUGAUUGUAUAAAGAUUUUAACACCUUUAAUGUGUAAAUAUAAAACUCAUAUACAAGUGAAUUUGAUUUUACACCAAAAUUAAAUGCAUUACUUCUCAUGUUUCGAAUUACAACGUCUUUAUUAGAACAGAAAGAAUUAAUAACAUCUCAUCUAAUUUUUGACAUCUUAAAAAUCUCUAGCGUUGGUUUCAAGAACUAAGUGGCUCAUGGUGAGCGGAUAUAGCAAAAGGGGAUAUAGAAUCAGAAAUGUUAUACUUGAAAAUAGUUGUUGCGUGUUAUGUAUUAGGGUCUCAUCCCCCAUUUAUGGUGAUUAAUGGUUAUAUUUAAUUAUUUAAUGAAUCUGGAGCAAGUAUGGGUCAAACAAAAUGGCUAUGCUGAAAAAUGGUGUCAUUUUAGUUCGCUUUGAGAUCAUGGGAUGGGCUGGGGUUGAAGACGAAGGGGGUGGGGUGGGGUGGGAUGUUAAGAUGACAUAGGGGGAGUGGGGUGCUUUUUUUAAAAAAGAAUUAAGAAAUUAUAAUAAUUAAAAAUUAUAUUAAUAAAUAAAUUAAAUAUAAAUUUUCUAAUUAAUAUUUUUGGGCCCCCUCAAUGCCACUUGACACAUUUUAAUUCGUAAUUUAGUAAAAAAAAAAACUCCUCACGCGCCUACAGCAAGUGCAUAGCACGCGCACUGCCAUGUAGGCAAAAAAUGUUUAAUUGAAACAAAAUGUGGAGGGGUUUAAGGGCCUGAUAGGAACAGUCCUUAGUUUAAGUGUCUAAAUGAAUUUUCGCAACAAAUUUAAGUGUCUAUCGAUGUCUUUGACCUUAUUUUUACUUUUUUUAGUCCUUCCAAUCAAACCUCAUGUUGAUAUGAUUGAUGAUAUCAACAAAUGGAAAAAUCAAAUGUGUCCUUUGGAAUUUCUUCUUCUUUGUCUCUUAAUUAUUUAUCCAAAGAAAAUCACUAUUUGAUAGACAAAGCAUGGAGUUGAACAGUGCAACAUUCCCCGCCCCCCAUAUAUAUAUAUAUAUAUAUAUAUAUAUAUAUAUUAUAUUGUUAUUAAACGAACAGGAAAAAGCAAUACCUCUUUUGAGCCGGUGGUCUAACAGAAACAACCUCUCCAGAAACAACCUCUCCAUCUGUGAGAUUAUACUGAAUAUGUAAUUGAUGUUACAUACUAAAGUAGUUGAACUUUAAUUCAUUCUCUGUAACAACAAAAUCAAUCCAUCAAUGUUAUAAUUGCAUGCAGAGAGAAGUGUUAGAUGGUGCAAAGGGAAUGGUAAGAGAUGCAAUUAUUCAAAAACUUGACAUCAAAAAAAUCAUGUUAUCAUCUUCUAAUACAAGAGAUGCAAUUAUUCAAAAACUUGACAUCAAAAAAAUCAUGUUAUCAUCUUCUAAUACAAUACGUAUUGCAGAUUUUGGAUGUUCAGUUGGACCAAACACAUUCAUUGGAAUACAACAUGUUGUACAAGCUCUAAAAGACAAGUACCAUAAUAACAUUCUUGAAUUCCAAAUAUUCUUCAAUGAUCAUGUGAUAAAUGAUUUCAACACCCCCUUUCGAUCACUACCCAUCGAUCGAUCCUACUAUGUAUCUGGAGUUCCAGGAAUAUCACUACAUGGUAGAUUAUUUCCAUCGCGAUCGAUACACUUUGCACAUAGUUCUUGUGCUAUACAUUGGUUAUCUAAGUGUCCAGAAGAGUUGUUAAAUUAUUUUUUAUGUAUAUAUAGUAGUGUUGGAACCUUGAAGCUUUGAUGAAUGACAAUAUGAAUGAAACAAGUUGAUAUACGUGUUCCACUGAUCCGACAAGUUCAGGAGUGCAAUCUACGGUAUAAAUAAUUAAAAAUCAAAAUGAGUUAAAUCAGUGCAACUGAAAACUUCAACAUACUGAUCAUGUGAGGAAUAGAACAAGUUCAAUUUGAUUCAAACACUUGAUGAUAAGGGAAAGCAAAUUGAGUUGAAAGAGGAGUCCUAUGUGAGAAGGAGUUUCACUUCUAAGCAUAUUCUUAAGAUUCCUAUGUGUAGAAGGAGAAAGAUUCUAAAAAUUGAAGAAGUCAAGAGAGUUGGAGUUUGACUACAACACCAAGGAGACAAGAGUUAGAAUUGAAGAAGGAGUCUAACUUGAAGUAAGACUCUAUGCAAUGAGAGUUUUGAUUAGAGGAGGAGUUUGAAAUAAAGAAUGACUCUUUGGAGAGCUGUGCUUAAAUAGAAGAUGCAACAAUCAGAAUAAUUCACGCACUUACAAAGCAGAAAAGUACAAUCGACAGAUUGACUUCACAAAGUGCUACUCAAUCACUGAAGAAACACAUUGAAGAAACUGGUCCUACGUAUAGAAUCCAACUAAGAGUUUUAUCUUUGAUUUUUAGAGUUGUUCAAUGUGUUUGAGCUAUUGAUGUAAUAUUAGUUUCAGUGUGUUAUAAACUGAAUUAGGAGAUAGUCUUCGAGUUGGGGAAAACUCAGAGACUUUCGGAACGAAUACCUUGGGAGGUGUGUGUAGUUAGGAAUUAGAGUUUGUAAUUCCUAGUAGUUGAGUUAUAGGGAUUAUAGUUUAUAAUUCCUAUUUGUUGAUUACAAGAGUUUUGUAAUCAGUCGUUGUUGAGGCUCAGAUUUAUUUAGUGAAGUUGGGGUUAAAUCCUGUAGAGGUGCAGGUCAUGUUUUUUUAUACCUUUUGAGCUGGGUGUUUUCCACGUAAGAAUCAUUGUGUUCUUUACUUUCUGUUUUACUGCUUCCUUAGAACACGUCAGUGGAACACGUCAGGAAACCUGUUCCAUCGAUAAGCAACAGUUAGGCAAAAAUAAGAUAAUCAGUAGGGCACGAACUCUAACAAGUGAUAUCAGAGCUAGAUUGUCUUAAAAAGGGAUAGCACCUAAGACAAAGAUCAGUAUGAUGAAUUCCGCACCACCUACUAGUUACAGUGAAGGUCAAUCCACUAUUAGACCUCCACUCUUUGAUGGUUCUCACUUCAUUUGGUGGAAAUCUAGGAUGGAAACAUUCAUUCAAGGGGAAGACUACGAGUUAUGAGAUAGGAUUACUGAUGGUCCUACUAUUCCAAUGAAGUUAGAAUAUGGGAAACAGGUCAAGAAAGUAAGGAGUGAAUUCACUCCUGCUGACUUAUUGGCAUUAAAGAAAAAUGCUAAGGCCAAAAAUAUUUUGGCCUGUGGAUUAGGACCUGCUGAAUACAACAAGGUAUCAACAUGCACCACUGCUAAGUGUAGACACCUAAUUUUGUCCCUCCCUGAUAUCGUUUUUACCCAUUUUUACUUUAUCCUACCGUGUACCCUCACCCAUCUAAUUAUUCCCCACAAAAAUACAAAAAUAACAAACUUCUAACAACUUUUGACACAUCACCACCCCACCCCAUACCCUACCUACCCUACCCCAUUACCUUACCCCACAUCACCUUUUAUUUUGUUUUUUUUAACUAACUCACAAAACAACAAAAAUAUAAAAAGGGGCCCACCACUAAGAGAAAGGAAAGAUUACUUUUGGCUAUUUAUACAUACAAAGAACAUGCAUAUACCAUUUUUUUCCCUCUCUCAUGGGAUACACAAAAAAAAAAGACUUACUCGGAGCCCACGUGAUGAGUGAGGAUUUUCCAUUCUUGAAUUGAGAAAAGGAACCUUCUAGGAAAGGGGUAAGGGGGGGACCAUUUUUGGUUUUGGGUUGUUUUCAUUUUAGUAUAUAGAUAUACAUAGAGUACAAAAAAGAAGGGGAGCUUACAUUUUUUUUCUCCUGGAGAGCAUAAACACAUACAUAGAGAAUAUACAGAGAGGAGAGCAAAAACAAAGGAAUUCCAUUUUUCUUGCUCCUUUUUCUCACCCACAACAACUUCGACACCAUCACAGGCAUACGAAUUCACUAAUAGACGCACAUACAUCUUCUUCCAAUUCUUUGGUUCUUCACGAAAUGCAAGCAAGAACCAGCAAACACACUCACACUUCACUGAAUACGCACACAACACAGUUUCUUCUCCGCACACGAUUAACGCACAGAUCACAAACACCACACACAGUGAAGGGCGAGUGAUGGAGAGACAGUGAGUGGGAGAGGGUUCUGAACAGUAAGAGAUUGGAAAUAGCGGGAGAUAGAUUUGAGAGAAUUUCUUUCUUUUUUCGGCGAUUCUAGCCAAAAAACGUCACUGCCGUCCUUUCUUUCUUUAUUUUUGUCACUUUUGGAGCUCGACGGAGCUUGAUGGAGCUCCGGUGACACGGAAACAAUCAACUCCAACACCGUUUCACGUCGAAUUCCAUCCAAACCUGAUCUGAAUCUCUCCUGGUUCAGCGAUUUCUGUUUCGGGUUUAGCAGAUUCACUGAAAUCUAGUCCAAGUCGUUCUUUGUUGAGUUCAAAGUUUGAAAUUCUAAAAUCUCCUCUGCCAGUCUCGGUUUGUUCGUAUUUCAUUAUUGGUAUUCAUCUAUUUUUUGCAAAGUGCUAUUGCGAAUCGAGUUUCGGGUCUGUUGCGGUUCGAACUAAUUUGAGAGUCGAGCUUUCAUUGGUAUUCUUCGAGUUCUUGGACGAGCUCUUAUUUCUCUUAUUAAAAUCAAUCGAAUGCUCUUGAGGUCCAUCUAUUUACUCUCUUUCUUUCUUCUUUAUUUUAUUUUGUUGAAAUGACUAUGAUUAUGUGUUGGAUGAUCUUGAUUGGGUGAUCUUAUCGACGUUGAUAUUUGUUAUUUAUGGAUAAUUGAUUGUGGAACAAAUUUGAUGAUUAGUAUAGAUUGGAUAAUCAUGUCUCGUAAAAGAAAUUUGUGUUGAAAAACAAUUUGGGGAAUAAGAAUCGAAAAUUGAUAAAAUUGAAUAUUAUAGUAUUUUGAUUAAUCAUUGACGUUGAACGUGAUAUGUCGUCUAGUUUGGAAUAAGCAUGGAUGUUGUUGAAACAUAGUAGUAUCAUGUUUAGGUCGAAUAUUGAUAGGCAAAUAUAAGUGGGUUAGGCAAAGUUUAUGACUUGCGAUCGUUGAAUGUUGAAGGUGUUUUGUUGAAAUGUGUUGGUUUAUGUUUUCGAAUUGAAGUGUAUUAAUUUGGCCGGGGAAUGCCCCAAAGAUUGAUGUAUUUAUUCACUGGGGAAUGCCCCGACAUAUCAUGUUGGAGAAGGCGGAUCUCGAUCAAGGCCCAAGCCAUCGGGUAAAAGGUCGGAGCAUAUUUUAGGAUUAGUUUAGAAUAUGAUUUAUAUUUUUAUGCAUUUUUCUAUUUUUGGAUUGUAAUAAUUGGAAUGGACACUAUAAUUUUGGAUUUGUUUGUUUGAUUGAUUGAUUGAUUGGUUUGUAUAUUUUUUGUGUGGUUUAUACACUCUUAGUGUCGAAUUAGCCAAUAUGCUCCACCAAGUCACCGUGGUCGAACCACGGGAUCAAGGGGUGCCUAAUACCUUCCCCUCGGUCAACAAAAUUCCUUAGUUGGAAUCUCUAUUCGCGGAUCAGUUUUAGAGUCAAACCGUUUUGAAAAAGGAUUUCCAAAGGUGACUUGGCACACCUAAUUUAUGUCAAGUGGCGACUCUGAAUAAAAAAUNNNNNNNNNNNNNNNNNNNNNNNNNNNNNNNNNNNNNNNNNNNNNNNNNNNNNNNNNNNNNNNNNNNNNNNNNNNNNNNNNNNNNNNNNNNNNNNNNNNNNNNNNNNNNNNNNNNNNNNNNNNNNNNNNNNNNNNNNNNNNNNNNNNNNNNNNNNNNNNNNNNNNNNNNNNNNNNNNNNNNNNNNNNNNNNNCUCUAGUUGAGUCACCCUUAUUUUAGGGGGGGAACCAUCGGUGUUAUGGAGUAGGUGGAAAGCAAAGCAGCCACUAUCGACCAUACGCUCCCCCGAACAGCCUUGUUAGUGAACCACAACGUAGGUCAGCCUUUAGGUCAUGCUUAUGUGCAUCAUACUGAGACCUAGCGGGACCCACAUGGCCCUUUGUAGGAGACUCACCUCUAAAGCAUCCCUACGUGCUAACUGUUGCAUCUUUAAGGGUAACGUGAUCAUUUGACGGACUGAUUUAGAAAAAAUAUAUUUGUUAGGAGUAAGGUGCAUAGGCAAAAAACAAAAAUGAAAAAAAAGAAUAAAAAAAUUGAAAAAGUGAGUCGAAAAGAAUGAAUCAAAAAGAGUUUCAUAGUUUUUAGAGUUUUUUAUGGAUUUUAUUUUUUACAAUUCCAAAUUCAAAAGGACUUUUUUUCCUUUCGCACUCAUUUCUCAAAAAAUCAUCAGAAAGAUUUUCCUUUAUCUCGUUUAGCAUGCAUUCACAAUUCAAAAAUUUCAAAAAGAUUUUUUAUUCAUAGGAUGUGUUUAUAAAAGAAAAUGUAAAAAAAAAAAAAGAAAAAAAAAGAUGUUAGAAAUUUUUUACAUUUCGUAUAAUGAAAAUACAAAAAAGAUUUUUCUUUCAUAGUUGUUGAUGUCAUUUUUCUGUGAAGUAUCAAAAUGAAAACUCAAAAGAUUUUAUUAAUAUGGUUCAUCGUCUGUCUAUGGUCGUAUCUCUUAAGUCAGGGUCUAACCUGUUAUUUAACCAUUAAUCGUCCAAUCUGGAUGAACUACGCCCCCCUGAUUCCCCUCUUUCGAAAGUGAGAUACGUAGGCAGCCUAUUGUUGGUUCGGGAAUCUUAUUUUUAAAAAAUUAAUUAAAAAAUAUUUUUUUUCACUCUUCAUUUAGAGUAGGUGUUUCAUACAUGUAUUGUAAAGAAAAAUACAAAGAAAAAAAAAAGAUUUUUCUCAAUAGUCGUAGGUUUCAUUUUUGGUUGAUCUUAUUUCAAAAAUUCAAAAAUAUUUUCUUCAUUCUUCAUUUAGAGUAGGUGUUUCGUAUACAUCUUUAAAAGAAAACUACAAAAAGAUUUUUCUUUAAUAGGUUCAAGUUCCAUUUUCAUAUGUAAUUUAAAACUGAAAACCUAAAAAGAUUUUCUUUGGUAAUCAUAGAUUUCACUUUGUAUAAUGAUGUUAUGAAAAAUUCAAAAAUAUUUUCCUCAAUUCUUUUGACAAAUUGUUAUUUUCUUUUCUUCUUAAAGUUUCGAGGAAAAAAAAGAGAAAAAAAAAGAGUUCAAGGUCAUUUUGGCAUGACUUCACGAACUACGCACACCUGAUUCUUCCCUUUCGGGGGUGAGAUACGUAGGCGCCCUUCUAGGAUUUGGUGAUAUUUUAUCAAAAAAAAAAGGUUUUGAAAAAUCUUAAACUCUAACAUAUUUGUUGCCUCUUGUUCAGUUAGUUUAAGGUGGUUGGUUUGUGGUUUCCUGGUUGGUCCUCCAUAUCACACCAAAUCCAAGGAAGGGUUAGUUAUGUCCAACAAGGAUAUAAAGAGUGGCAUCAUGGAUGAAACAAAGAGUCAGGAAAUUGAGAGUUUAAAGGAAGAGAAUUUGAGACUGAGACAACAAAUGAUGGGAAUGUACAGAGCUUGGGCCAGUGGGCUGCCUCCACCUCCGUUCCCCACUUUUGACCCUGCAAAUACCUUGAGUCUUCCACCAAAAUCGCAAAGUCAAUUUCCUACUGUUGUUGAUGCACCACAUCAUGCCUCAGAAUCCAUUCCACAUCAAAUGCACCUCAACACUUCCACCACUCUUUCUUUAUCUCCUCAGUAUAAGUCUACCACAUUCACAACACCACAUACUAUCUGUGUUUUUGUUGCUCAACCUUCUACUAAGGCUUCUACUUUGUCUAUCAAUCCAACGAUUAUGCUUCCCCAGUCCACUAGUGACUCCAUGUUCAAUACUGUUGAUGAUCAUUGGUAUACUCUUAAGCCUACAGUUAAGUUAAGUGAACCGCCAAAAUUUCUUACUAAGAAGCCUAGCAUCCUAAAAGAGCCGGAGAAAAUAGUUGGGAAAGUGAAGAGUAUAGAAAAUGAUAUGAAAAAUUCAACUGGACUUACGGGCUAUGAAGAUAUUUCAUAUAAAAAUUGGGGCAUGUCUUCAAGUGUUAACCUUCCUCCCAGCUUUGAGACAUCAAAAUUUGGGGAGCCCGGUGGACAGAAGGGUUCUGUGAAACAUUUGGGACGACAUUGCAAUCAACCAAGAAACUAAAGGAAAAAAGAAGGAAAACGCACCUAUUGUCAUGACAGGGCCAAAGCAGAGUUUGAGAGGUCCAACCAACCAAUACUGUCAGCCUCAAUCCCGAUCUUACAUAUCAGAUCCACAUAACCACUUGCAACAAGGUUUCUUUCUCCGAAAUCUAAGAAAUCCCAUUCCACUUCCUUGAUAUCCUGUGAACAAUGCACAAUUGUAUGCUCAUCUAUCUUCUUAUCCACAAUGGAAUGCACCUGUCCCUCAACAUCGUCCUCGACCUCCACAAAUUUACCAAGGGACCUCUAAAUCUAAAUUUCAUCCGAGGCUAGAGUUCGCAAAGAGGAGGAAGGAGAAAGAUAAUUUCACUCCUAUUGGGGAAUCCUAUGCCAUUUUAUUCCAGAGAUUGGUACAGUAGGGCAUGAUCGCUCCUCUCCUUGGGUAUACUCCUGACCCGCAUUCAAGAAUCUUUGAUCCUAAUGUGCGAUGUGCAUAUCAUUCUGAUGUUCAGGGUCAUAGUACUGAAGAUUUUCGCACUUUGAAAAGAGAAAUAGAAAAGAUAAUUCAAGAUAAAUUGAUUGUGGUGAAAAACAUUGGCACUUUGAAAAGAGAAAUAGAAAAGAUAAUUCAAGAUAAAUUGAUUGUGGUGAAAAACAUUGGCCCUUCGACCAUCCCACAGAGUUCUUCACCAGCACGCGGUGCUGCACAAUAUGUGGGAGGCAAUGAGUUAAGCAUGGGGAUCCAGAGCUUAUUUGCUGAAGGAAAUGUGUCUGACAGUGGUGGAAGCUCUAGUUAUGUUGAUAUGCAAACCAGUGGCUAAUAUGUCAGGCUGAGCAAUUGAAAAGUCACCCCUCUCCCUACGAGGAAGAGGUCUGGUAGUUUGUUUUAUUUUCUUUUUUUUUUUUGAAUUAUUUCGGGGUUGUAGUACUGGAUCUAUCUUGUUUUGUCCCUUUUUCAUUUAUGUUCAAACCCUUUUAUCUUUUAUUUCAACUAAAUGAAGUGUCCCUUUCCUUUUGUGUUUCGAAUAUGUGUUAUUUGUUUGUUUUCUUUAUAUAGUCACUUUAUGUUGAUUCUAGUGAUAUGACAUGCCUGCGAAAUUUUCAAUCAGAUCUUAAAAUCCAGCUUAAUUAUGAAACAUUGAAUCAGAGAGAUAAAUUUAGGAAAAGAGAGCAUCUAAGAAAAUAAAUAGAGUGUUGGGGCAUUUGGUGAUCAACUUGAAGCCUUCGUUGAAAAUUGAGACUUUUUAAGAAUCGCAAGGAUAACUUGGUCAUCAAUUGAAAGACAUGUCUUAAUUAUGUCAAACAGUGUCCACGUGAUCCUAUCAAGAGGAACAGGAAGAAAAUUAGCUCCACGAAGUCAUGAGUCCUUCAGCAUGAGGAAUGUACAACAAAGUGGAGUUGUAUGCUGGGCAAGUGUAGAAAAAGAGGUGACACACAUUCUUGGGGCAAGUUAGUGUUGUAAAACAUUUCAUAAGUGAUCUGGAUCGUGCACUUUCUCAUUGCAUGCUAUGUACUAGCAUUUUCAAGAAUUGAUAUGAUGAAGGCAUUUCAUUCUGCUAUCCAAACACUCUGUCAUCCUUUGUUUACCCCCAUUUAGGCCUUAGUGUUAUUUUAUUUCAUACCCCUCUUUUGGAAUCAAGAUAAGAGUCAACAAAAUUCAAAAAAAUAUGUCGAAAAAGAAAGAAAAGAUGAGUAUCAAGAAAAAUAAAGUCAGAAAAUUCCCAAAGACGAAAGAGUCAGCAAAAGAAAAAAAAUAGAAUCAAGUGAAAGAAUAAGCUGCCAGAACUACGCAUGACCUGAUUCUCCUCUCUCGAGAGUGAGAUACAUAGACUGCCCUACUCAGGGCUCGGUCCAACCAAAUAAACAAUUUAGAGUCACCCAGUCAAAAAAAACUGGGGCACGAGUUAAUCCUCAUUGUUUGAGUCGAUUCCAAAAGUUGUAAGUCCUACCCCACUUCAAGUAUCGUUUAGGCCCUACGCCAUCUUUUCUUUAUAACCUUAUCCAAAAUCCAAGUUACAUCCAAAGAAAUGCCCUCAGAUCAAUCUUUGAGGAUGUUAAGGCUGAGCAUGCAAGGGAUACGAUGAUGCAUUUGGGAACUAUUUGUCUUCCUCAGCAUAGGGAAUCAAGAGAGAAAUAAAAAUAAGAGUCUUAUUGGUGAAAACCCUUAUGGGCACCAUAAGCCGAUGGUAAGUUGAGAGAAAUAAAAAUGAGAGAGUCUUAUUGGUGAAAACCCUCAUGGACACCUAAGGCGAUAGUGAGCCAAGAGAAAAUAAAAGAAGCUUGUUGGCGAAAACCCUUCAAGGCGCCACUAGCCAAAUAGGGUCUUAAAUGCAAUUGACCUAUGAAAGAAAUUCAGUUUCAAGGCCAUUAACUCAACAACAAUGGGUAGAAAGUUUGGAUGAAAAGAUCAAGCUACUUAUCUUUCUUGAGUCAGUUAUCAAAACAAAAAAUUGUCUUUUUUUUUCGUUUCUUGUCCUUGAGUCAAAUCUGUGUCAAAACAAGUGAGAAAAGAUUUCAAAACUUGAUACCAGCUUCUUUAAUUGCACAAAGCAAGACAAAAGCUAGCACACGAAAGAGACAUAAUUGUGAACCCAAAAAGGGCAUGCAGAAAGUUUUGUCAACAGAGAAGUCGGGGAACUCAUGGAAAUACCAAGGUUUAAAGGGUUUAUUUGAGAAGCACGACAAAGCAGAAAUACUAUGUUUGUUUCAGAGUCAUUCUUAAUAAGUUGAGUUUGGGUCAAUGAUACAGCAAUUCAAUGACAUAUGCUAAUGGUUGGAAGCAAAGCUAAAUAUGACGGCAGCACGAGCAAUUGCCUCAAAAUCCAAUGCCUCAAAAGCCAAAGCCACAAACUAGCCACCAUGUUUUUAAACUCACAAGUUUUCUUUGUAUGUAAUAGAAAUACAUGUUGCAUUCAGAUCAACGAUUUCAGAGCCUAAACAUCAAAGGCCGUAAUUUCUCACCUCAACAAAUGCAAGAGGCAAGGUUGCUGCACAGGUUUGGUAAUCGAAACCAUGGCAAAACUUAUAAUUCAAGAUCUCUAGUAGACGCACCUCCUUGUUUGGAUAAUUCAAACAACAUUGAUAAGGAAACAUACUUCCUUGAUUGGUUAAUUCAAAUUUUUCUUCUUAGGUAAUGCACUUUCUAACUUCACCUUGACUCCUAAAAGACGUACCUUUUAGUCGAGUGAUCCCUUUUGAUUCCUAUAAGAUGUACCUUUUAGUCGAGUCAUCCCCUUUGAUUCCUAUAAGACGAACCUUUUAGUCGAGUCAUCCCCUUUGAUUCCUAUAAGACGUACCUUUUAGUCGAGUCAUCCCCUUUGAUUCCUAUAAGACGUACCUUUUAGUCGAGUCAUCCCCUUUGAUUCCUAUAAGACAUAUCUUUUAGUCGAGUCAUCCCCUUUGAUUCCUAUAAGACGUACCCUUUAGUCGAGUCAAACCCUUUAAUUCCUAGAAGAUGUACCUUUUAGUCGAGUCAUUCCUUUGAUUUCUAUAAGAUGUACCUUUUAGUCAAGUCAUUCCAAUUAACUCAUAGAAAAUGCAUUUCUUUGUUUGGGAUAAUUUUUUUUUCAGUUUUGAUAUGAUAUCAGGAGCAUGCCCAAAGCACAGGGCGAAUAAAUGGAAAACCAAGCAACAAGGUGAAGAAAUUGAAAGUUAAACAGAUUGAAAAAUAGCAAGUCAGGAGCCCGCUUGCAGAAUAGGGUGUAGAAGUUGAAAGCAUGGAAACAAGUUGAUGAAAUAGUAAGUCAGGAACCCGCCUGGAGAAUAGGGUGAAGAAAUUGAAAGGCAAGCAACAAGUUAAAGUAAUAGCAAGUCAGGAGCCCGCCUGAAGAAUAGGGUGAUGAAACUCAAGUCAAGAGUCCAAAAGAAGCUGUAUAGAUAGGAUUUUUGUAAUUUCAUUUAUGCUUUAACUUGUAAUUUUCAUUUUAAUAUAAUGAUAGAGCCGUGAAACAGAACCUCGAUGGAACCUCACUCGACUCUCCAACNNNNNNNNNNNNNNNNNNNNNNNNAAUACCCAUGACUUGCUUCUCUCAUAACUUGGGUAGGUAGGAUGUCUUAAGUCAAAACCCGGUUGUCCUUCUUCCUUCUAUUUCUUUCUUUGAAUAAUGGUCGGGUCAAAAUUUGGUCUUGCUGUCUACUGCUUUGUCUGAAAACACUUCAUGUUUACAUUCGAAGGGGGCAUGAUGUAGACACUUAAUUUCGUCCCUCCCCGAUAUCGUUUUUACCCAUUUUUACUUUAUCCUACCGUGUACCCUCACCCAUCUAAUUAUUCCCCACAAAAAUACAAAAAUAACAAACUUCUAACAACUUUUGACACAUCACCACCCCACCCUAUACCCUACCUACCCUACCCCACUACCUUACCCCACAUCACCUUUUAUUUUGUUUUUUUUAACCAACUCACAAAACAACAAAAAUAUAAAAAGGGGCCCACCACUAAGAGAAAGGAAAGAUUCCUUUUGGCUAUUUAUACAUACACAGAACACGCAUAUACCAUUUUUUCCCUCUCUCAUGGGAUACACAAAAAAAAGACUCACUGGGAACCCACGUGAUGAGUGAGGAUUUUCCAUUCUUGAAUUGAGAAAAGGAACCUUCUAGGAAAAGGGUAAGGGGGGACGAUUUUUGGUUUUGGGUUGUUUUCAUUUUAGUAUAUAGAUAUACAUAGAGUACAAAAAAAAGGGGAGCUCACGUUUUUUUUCUCCUAGAGAGGGCAUAAAACACAUACAUAGAGAAUAUAUAGAGAGGAGAGCAAAAACAAAGGGAUUCCAUUUUUCUUGCUCCUUUUUCUCACCCACAACAACUUCGACACCAUCACAGGCAUACGAAUUCACUAAUAGACACACAUACGUCUUCUUCCAAUUCUUUGGUUCUUCCAGAAACGCACGCAAGAACCAGCAAACACACUCACACUUCACUGAAUACGCACACAAUACAGUUUCUUCUCCGUACAAGAUUAACGCACAGAUUACAAACACCACACACAGUGAAGAGAAAGUGAAGGAGAGACAGUGAGUGGGAGAGGGUUCUAAACAUUGAGAGAUCGUAAAUAGCAGGAGAGAGAGUUGAGAGAAUUUCUUUCUUUUUUUCGGCGAUUCUAGCCGGAAAACAUCACUGCCGUCCUUUCUUUCUUUAUUUUUGUCACUUUCGGAGCUCGACGGAGCUUGAUGGAGCUUUGAUGACACGAAAACAAUCAACUUCAGCUCCGUUUCACGUUGGAUUCCAUCCAAAUCUGAUAUAAAUCUCUCCUAGUUCAGCGAUUUCCAUUUUGAGUUUAGCAGAUUCACCGAAAUCUAGUCCAGGUCGUUCUUUGUCGAGUUCAAAGUUUGAAAUUCUAAAAUCUCCUCUGCCAGUCUCGGUUUGUUAGUAUUUCAUUGUUGGUAUUCAUCUAUUUUUUGCAAAGUGCUAUUUCGAGUUGAGUUUUGGGUCUGUUGCGGUUUGAACUAAUUUGAGAGUCAAGAUUUCAUUAGUAUUCUUCGAGGUUCUUGGACGGGCUCUUAUUUCUCUUAUUAAAAUCAAUUGAAAGCUCUUGAGGUCCAUCUUUUUACUCCCUUUCUUUCUUCUUUAUUUUAUUUUGGUGAAAUGGCUAUGAUUAUGUGUUGGAUGAUCUUGAUUGGGUGAUCUUAUCGACGUUGAUAUUUGUUGUUUAUGGAUAAUUGAUUGUGGGAAAAAUUUGAUGAUUAGUAUAGGUUGGAUAAUCAUGUCUCGUAAAAUAAAUUUGUGUUGAAAAGUAAUUUGGGGAAUAAGAAUCGAAAAUUGAUAAAAUUGAAUAUUAUAGUAUUUUGAUUAAUCAUUGACGUUGAAUGUGAUAUGUCAUCUAGUUUGGAAUAAGCAUGGAUGUUGUUGAAACAUGGUAGUAUCAUGCUUAGGUCGACCAUUGAUAGGAAAAUAUAAGUGGGUUAGGCAAAGUUUAUGACUUGCGAUCAUUGAAUGUUGAAGGUGUUUUGUUGAAAUGUGUUGGUUUAUGUUUUCGAAUUGAAGUGUAUUAAUUUGGCCGGGGAAUGCCCCGAAGAUUGAUGUAUUUAUUCACCGGGGAAUGCCCUGACGUAUCAUGUUGGAGAAGGCGGAUCUCGAUCAAGACCCAAGGCAUCGGGUAAAAGGUCGGAGCAUAUUUUAGGAUUAGUUUAGAAUAUGAUUUAUAUUUUUAUGCAUUUUUCUAUUUUUGAAUUGUAAUAAUUGGACUGGACACUAUAAUUUUGGAUUUGUUUGUUUGUUUGAUUGAUUGAUUGGUUUGUAUGUUUUUUGUGUGGUUUAUACACUCUUAGUGUCGAAUUAGCCGAUAUGCUCCACCAAGCGACUUUGGUCGAACCACGGGAUCGAGGGGUGCCUAAUACCUUCCCCUCGGUCAACAGAAUUCCUUAGCUGGAAUCCCUAUUCGCGGAUCAGUUUUAGAGUCAUACUGUUUUGAAAAAAGAUUUCCAAAGGUGACUUAGCACACCUAAUUUAUGUCAAGUGGCGACUCUGAAUAAAAAAUAUAAAUAAUCCUUUUUCGAAACAAAAAUUCUUCAUUUUGUCCCUUAAUAACAAAAAACCCUUUCGAAACUUAAUCCAUAAUCUUUUGGAUGUUGAAAAAGGGGUGUGACACUAAGAAAAUUUGGGAUGAUCUAGUAAAUGCUCAUGAAGGCACAUCUCAAGUAAGAAAAUUUAGAAUUUCUCUUUUCUUCACUGAGUAUGAGGCAUUUAAGAUGAAGGAGAAUGAAACCUUGCAUGAGAUGAUGACAAGGCUUACUGCCUUAACAAAUGAGCUGACCUCAUUAGGAAAUGCUAUAUCUGAAGAAGAACAAGUCGAGAAGGUACUGAGGGUAUUACCAAAAUCAAAGUGGAAUGUUAAGAUGACUGCAAUCAGGUAAGCAAAUAAGAAUCUUACAGGCAUGACCCUGGAUGAAUUAGUGGGGAAUUUAAGAACUUAUGAAAUAGAAAUUGAUGAAACUAAAGUGCUAGCAACCCUAGAGGAUAUCUAAGCUCUGAAGGCAUCUUACAGUGAUGAAGAAAUUGAACUUGAUAAAGAAUAAGGUGCCUUUAUAGCUAAGAACUUCAGUAAAUUCUACAAAAAGAAGAAGGGGAACAGAUAGCAAGAAAUGGUCAAAUAACAAUCUAAAUGGAUGCUACAAGUGUGUUAAGACUUAUCAUCAUAUCAAGAAUUGUCCUGUCUGGGAAAUAGAGUGGAGAAAGGAAAGGGGUGAAAAGGAAUUGAAAGAAAAAAAUAAAAAAAGGAAAGAAUAUGCAAUGGUAGAAGCUUGGGGAUUUGACUCAGAUGAUGAUGAAGUUGAUGAAACAGCACUCAUGGCUCUUGGAGAUUCAGACUUAGCGGAAGAAGAUGAUGCUUCUGAGGUAAGUAUACUUGAACUUAAAGAAAAGUUGCAUUUGUUUUCUAAAACAAAACUUAUUUCCUUGAUGAGUGCACUAAUUGAUGACUUCCAAGAAUCAACUUCUGAUAGGGAUAAGCUGUUCAACAGUCUUGCAAGAAUCAAAUUUGAUUUUAUUAAUUUAGAAGCUUGCAAGAACACUGUUGAACAGGAAAACCGCUCUCUCAAGAAACAAGUUGAGCAACUUGAUUCUUCAAAUAAUGAUCUUAAGUCUGAAGUUCUAAAAUUGACACUCUCUGGAAAAAAAAAACACCAAGAGUAAAGAACAAGAAAAAGUUGAACUUGAAUUGGUCAAGUACAAAGAAUAGUGCAAUAAUGUAAUAGAAAUGGUGAAUAAACUGAGUCAAGAAGUCUCUAAACUAAAACUUGACCUUGAAAGAGCAAACAGGUGGACAACUUCCUCAAGAAUUAGUCAUAAGUUGAAUGAAAGAUAUCACAGUGAAAAAGCUGGUUUAGGUUUUCACAAAAGUCUUGAUGCUUAUCAAGACUUGUGUUAUAUCUGUGAAAACCUUGGACAUCCAACUACUGAAUGUCUAGUUGCUGCCAAAAGUAGAUCUAGCAGUCUAAAUCUGGCAAAUAAACUAUCUCAGACUAAGAAAAGGAUAACUAAACCUGGUCAGAGAAACAGGUCACGUAACCUGUUGCCUGCAUAGGCUAGAAGAAAUCUAAUUCAUCCAUUUACUCAUAAGGACCCAAACUUGUAUGGGUGCCUAAAGUUAACCCCUAAUUUAUUUUGCAGGUGAGAGUGAAAAGAGGCAAGCAAAAUUUGUGCAUAAAUAAAGCUUACUCAAGGCAUAAGACUAUAAGAAAAUAAAGUUUCUUUCACUCACCAUAUUUAAGGAGGGAAUGGAUCAAUUGAAAGAUGGCCAGAUUUGUAGUGCUCAUGUAAGGGAGAAUCAAGGGAGAUUUAAAAAUGAGAAAAGAGAAUGAUUAUGAAACUGAUGAGCAUGCACAGGAACAUGUUGUACCACCUGGUUCAACUGUUGUACAGACUGAGGGCAUAUUGACAGGGGGAACAACAAAUAAAGAAAUAGAUGAAUCAAUAAAACCAACACAAGUUACUGGUAAUUUUGUUGGUAGAAUCUUGAGAUAUCUCAUGGGAAUCAAUGGCUUGAGACUAUGGUAUUCAAAAGAAAGUAAUUUUACUCUUGAGGGCUAUAAAAAUAUUGACUAUAUAGGUUACGUAAUUGACUGGAGAAGCACCAAAGGCACUAAGUAGAGAGCAUUUAGAAAGAAAUAGGUUAGACUUAGGGAUGAUUAAAAUUUCAUGAACUCCCCUCAAUGAUUGACUAGAAUAAUCAUUUUUCUUCUUAAUCUUAUUAGCUAAAAAGUUAUUCUAUUCAGUCUUGCACAUUUAGUUGUGUGUCCCAAUUCUAGAGUUUUGACUUUUCUAACCUAAUUUGGUAUUAGAUUGUGCAGAAAAAUAGGUUCGAGCCAGCAAUUAUGACCACAAAGUUCUUCUUAUCAGGUAUGUUCUACACUGAUAAAAGCAUAGGCUGUCUAAGUUGAAACAGUUGAGCACACCUGUUCAAUUCCACACACUUUAUCCUCUCAUUGUCUAAUAAAGCUAAUGAAUUGGUUGACCAAACUUUCUUUGAUUAUCUCCAAAUGGGUGUGCAAAAAAUAUGUUAAUCCUACACCAGAAAAUCCUUCUUCUUUCUCAACCAAAAUAUCAGUUGUGUACCAUGGAUUUGCCAAGCUUGAUCAUCAAUCACAUGCAGCAUAAGUUUUCUGAGAAAUGAAAAGGGAUAUGAUCUCCCUUUUAGUUCCUAAUUGGUUAUUUUUUUUUGGAUUUCUCAGUCCUAGUUCAGGUUGACUUAGAAAAAAACAAUAGAUGUUCUUGCACAGAUGAAUUAUGUUGCUCUACCAGUUUCAAUAAGGAGGGCUAACACUAAAAAAUGUAAAAAAAAUUUGAACUUGAAGCUGCACAAGACAGUCAUGAAGUGGAAUAAGUGGUCCUUUAGGCUUGGAUCAUGACUUUAAAGCUUGACCUUGAUUAAGAGAGGGAUAAAAAUGUUGAAUUCACUCGUCAAUUGACACAGUUGAUAUCACUUGUUCCUCCUUUCUCUUCACUAUUUAUAUCCUUAGUCAUGUCCCACUUUUAUACCAUAUUUUUUAAUGCUCAGUUGUAUUGCAUUGUUCAGUACUAGCUUAGGUUUAAUGUGGAACAUGCUCUGUCAGUUAAAUGAAAUGGUUAUCUUUGCUAAGUUGAAUCAUAUUUUUGCUCUCUUUAAUAUAUUACUAUGUUGGCUAAAGUCUUUGUCUGAUUGUUUUGGUGAUAGCCCCAGUGUCCAUGAAUAGCAUAAUAAAUCACUUUGGCUAGUAUAUUAUUGCAUUGAAAUAAUUUUCGAUGAUGCCAAGAGGGGGAUGAUAAGAGGGUUGUGCAAUGUUUAUAACCCAUUGACUAACUUGUUUCAUUCUAGUGUUUUAUACUUGAGUGCCUACAGGUGAAGAUGUUUGAAUGCACAAAGACAAGAAGUUUAUCAUCAUAAAAAAGGGAGAAUUUGUUGGAACCUUGAAGUUCUGAUGAAUGGCAAUAUGAAUGAAACAAGUUGAUAUACGUGUUCCACUGAUCCGACAAGUUCAGGAGUGCAGUCUACGGUAUAAAUAAUUAAAAAUCAGAAUGAGUUAAAUCAGUGCAACUGAAAACUUCAACUUACUGAUCACGUGGGGAAUAGAAAGUUGAAUUUGAUUCAAACACUUGAUGAUAAGGAAAAGCAAGUUGAGUUGAAAAAGGAGUCCUAUGUGAAGAAGGAGUUUCACGUCUAAGCAUAUUCUUAAGAGUCCUAUGUGUAGAAGGAGAAAGAUUCUGAAAAUUGAAGAAGUCAAGAGAGUUGGAGUUUGACUACAACACCGAGGUGACAAGAGUUGGAAUUGAAGAAGGAGCCUAACUUGAAGUAAAACUCUAUACAAUGAGAGUUUUGAUUAGAGGAGGAUUUUGAAAUAAAGAAUGACUCUUUGGAGAGUUGUGCUUAAAUAGAAGAUGCAGCAAUCAGAAUAAUUCACGCACUUACAAAGUAGAAAAGCACAAUCGACAGAUUGACUUCACGAAGUGCUACUCAAUCACUGAAGAAACACAUUGAAGAACCUGGUCCUACGUAUAGAAUUCAACUAAGAGUUUUAGCUUUGAUUUUUAGAGUUGUUCAUUGUGUUUGAGCUAUUGAUGUAAUAUUAGUUUCAGUGUGUUAUAAACUGAAUUAGGAGAUAGUCUUCAAUUUGGGGAAAACUCAGAGACUUUGGGAACGCAUACCUUGGGAGGUGUAUGUGUAGUUAGGAGUUAGAGUUUAUAAUUCCUAUUCGUUAAGUUAUAGGGAUUAGAGUUUAUAAUUCCUAUUUGUUGGUUACAAGAGUUUUGUAAUCAGUCGUUGUUGAGGCUCAGAUUUAUUUAGUGAAUUUGGGGUUAAAUCCUGUAGAGGUGCAGGUCGUGGUUUUUUUACACCUUUUGAGACGGGUGUUUUCCACGUAAAAAUUAUUGUGUUCUUUACUUUCUGUUUUACUGCUUCCUUAGAACACGUCAGUGGAACACGUCUGGCAACCUGUUUCAUCGAUAAGCAACAGUUAGACGAAAAUAAGAUAAUCAGUAAGGCACGAACUCUAACAAGUAGAUCGUUCAACCCCCUUUGAUUAGUUCGUAUGUUCACUUGUGAACCCCUUUGGUGAAAAUUCUGGAUCCGUCGCUAUGUGGCAUAAUACACAUAGUAUGCCACGUAGGAUGCUACAUAGGACAUAUCUGUCUACUUGUUCAACUUUAUACAAGUUAAAGUGUUUACUUGUGCACACUCAAAGUUGGAGGUAAUAGCUAUGUGAUUGAGGCCAAGUAAAAGGACACGUUUAUUAUAUAUUGUGACUUACUAAUAUCAGCAUAUAUUACUAAUACAUCAUAUUCAACCCUAUUAUUAUACUUACACUUUAUCAAACGUUCCCUUAAAAUGAGAAAUAAUUACCUGCAAAUGGGAGUUUUUGGAGUAGCUAUAUAAGGACCAUCACCAGCAUUCAUGGGGAAAGAUGUUGCCAUUUUGGCUAAAUAUUAAUAUAAAUAAUAUUCUUCUUCUCUUCUUCACCGUAUUGCUCAAUGUUUAAUUUUCUUCACACAGACAUACAUGUUCUUGUAUGUAUACAUAUAAUAAUGUAGAUGUUAAACAAGUAUUUUUUGGCAAAGAAAAGUGAAAAAGAAACCUUAUAAAGGACACAUUUAUUUUAUUAUUGUUGAUGUUAAUUUUUUAUUAAAACAGCUAAAUUAAAUCUAUCCAAACAGGACCACUUAAAAGUAAGUUAAAAAAAAAAAAUUGACAGUGAAAAUCGACAAAAUUUAUGUACCCCUUAUAUAUAAAUCAUAAUACAACUAUAACAUGAACCAAACGUGUUACUAUGCAUAACGAAAAUAUUAAAAAAGAAACAUACAAAAAGUACAAAUAUUAAUAUAAUCAAAGUAAAAGAAAUAACAGUAGUAAUAAAAUCAAAAGCAUAAGAUAACCUUAAUAUAAUCUUCAACGUCCACGCCUCUUAUUUAGCCUCUUAUUUAGAGUCAUGUCCUCAAUCAGUGAGCUGAAGAUAUAUGUCAUAUUUUGUCUAAUUAUAUCUCUCAAUUUUUUGUCAGUCUACCUUGACCUCUCGAUCUCCUCAAACCUAUCAUCACCAAACCUCACAUAUCUCCUCACUCAGAGGCUGACCCAGUCCUUUUUAGGGGGUUCGUCCGAAUCCCCUUCGACGGAAAAAUAUACUAUUUAUGCAUGAUUAAAAUUAUUUGAGAAAAUACUCAAUUACCCCCUGAACUAUACCUAAAAAGGAUAUGACACAUCUCAAUUUAUAUUAAAGGGGUCCUAUUACCCCUGAAGGCCUGAACUAAUUAAAAGUGUAAUUUUGAUACCCUUAGUGCUUAUGUGGCACACACAUGUGCCUACGUGGACACUUCAGUGUGUUGUGCCACGUAUGUGCCACAUAGGCACUAAGGGUGUUAAAAUUACACUUUUAAAUAGUUCAGGGUGUAAUAGGACCCCUUUAAGUUGAGGUGUGUCAUAGCCUUUUUGGGUAUAGUUCAGGGAGGUAAUUGAGUAUUUUCUCAAAUUAUUUUUAUGUGGUUAUAGUAGGUGUUGAUGAACCCCCCCCUUCGACUUAGUUUUCUUUGAAUAUUGAACCCCCUUACUUGAAAUCUUGGCUCCGCCUCUGUCCUCACUGAGGUCUGAUCUGUAGUAUUUGUGCUCCUUUUCAGAUGCGAAGCCAGAAUUUCUGUUGAGGGGGUUUAAAAUCUAAAAAAAAAAAAAAAAAAAAAAAAAAAAAAAACUCACCAAAGGGGUUCAACAUUUACAAUUUACACAUAAAAAUUAUUUUAACCAUGUAUUGAUAAUAUAAUUUCUCAUCGAAUGGGAUUCAGAUGAAUCCCUUAUUAAUUACUAGGUUGACUCCGCCUCUCCUUUUCUUCACAUGCUUGGAACAUCUAAGUGUCGCUUCUCGCUUCUUGUUUGCCUCUCUCCCACCUUAACCUAUAUAGGUGUAUUAAUAUUAACAAUGAAAGAAUAAAGUAUUUGAAAAAAAAAAACACCUUCCUAAGUAAAAUACACUAAUUAAUUCUACGUAAUAUUAUUCAUUAUAUAAUAUAAUCCAUGCAUUAUUAUUCAUCACGUACUAAUCAAUUCAUAAUUAUUAUUUACCUAAUAAACAAUCUCGCAUCAUUACUCAUAUGUAUAACUAGUAAAUGAACCAAUCAAAUUCUAUUCGAUGUCCAAUAUUUGAAUACUUAUAACUCAUUUGGAUUCGCGUCGAAUAGGGAAAAAGCUUCCUAUCAAGAGCUUCUUCAUACUCGGAAUUUGAAUCCAAAAUAUCUGAUUAAGAAAAGAGUAACUUUAUCACCACAAACAUUCAGAGGGGGAGCCAGCCUAGUAAUAGGAGAUUUGUUUAAACUUCCUUCGACGGAAAAUUAUAGAGAAAAUGCAUUGUUUCCACCCUGAACUAUAAACAAAACUGCUGAGACAUUCCAACUUAAACGAAAUUGCUGAGACACUCCAACUUAAAGGGGGUCCUAUUACCCCUGGAUUAAUUAAAAUCGUAUUUUUGGCAACCUUAGUGCCUACGUGGCACCUACAUGGUGCCUAGGCGCCAUGUAGGUGCCACGUAGGCGCUAAGGUUGUCAAAAAUACAGUUUUAAUUAGUCCAGGGGUAAUAGGACCCUCUUUAAGUUUGAAUCUGUCUCAGCAAUUUCGUUUAUAGUUCAGGAUGGAAACAAUCCAUUUACUCAAAGUUAUACUAUAAAUACAUGAUUAAAAUAAUGUUUAUGUAUAUAUUGUAGAUGUUGAACUCCUUAGAUGAAUUUUUCUCGAGAUUUUGAAUACCCCUCAGCAUAAAUGUGGUCAUCAUGGUAAGAAUUGUGGCAAGUGCAAACUACAAGAUCUUAAUGCAAACAAUGUUAUUGUCCACACACAAUUAGAUAUUUAAAACUUUGAUUUGAUUGAACCUCUGAUAAAUAAUCAAUCAUGGAGAAAGAUGUGGUUGCACUGUUUAACUCCAUUCUUUGUCUAACAAUUAAGUACUUGUUUGUCAAGGAAAAGCCAAAGAAGAAUAAAUCCUCAAAAAACACGUUUUGUUUUAUUUACUGUUGUCAAUAUGUGAAUUCAGAAUUCAGAAUUUGAAAUUUAUGAGUUAACGAUUCUAUUCCUUUUGAAUUAGAGUGAACGGCGAAAAAAAUACUUAAAAUAUCAUGAUUUUUUUUAUUUUGGCAUAAUACAUAAAUAUGACCCUAGUUUAAUAACGUUAAUUUAAUAACUUUAAUUUAAUAACGUUUUAUUAAAACUAUAAUUUUUUUAUUUAUUAUUAAUAUAGUUUCAUCUUUGAGCUGAAAAUAAUAAAAAAAAUAAUAGUGAAAAGUCAUUUAAAUAUAUAAAAAGAAAUUAGUAAGGGCAGAAUAGUCAUUUUACCCUCUUUUUUACUGUUGGAACGCUCAAAUUUUUAGCCCGACGUGCCCAGUUUUGCGUGUACAACAUGCAUUUUACCGCAUAGGAUUCGAGGUCAUAUUUGUGUAAUUUUGAAUAGUUAAAGGUCAUAUUUGUAUAGUUUUGAAUAGUUUUAGGUUAUAUUUGUGCAGUUUUGAAUAGUUAAAGGUCAUAUUUAUUUAAUGUCCCAUCAGAAUUUAGCUUGACUCGAAAAAUCCAUUUAGAGUCAACUAACUUUUGCUUUGCAGUAGAUGGAACGAGCUCCCAUGUGCCUUGUUUCUGUAAUGCAUGAAUUUCAUCUUCAAUGGCUGCCUUCCAAUCAGGAUCAUUUAGUGCUCUUGACAAAGACUUUGACUUAGACUUUGACUUAUAUAUUUCAAAAAAAUACGUAAAAAAUACUAUAAAUUGUAAAAAUUAACAAUUUAAAAAAAUUAAAAUAUAUUAAAUAUUUGGUUAACUCUUGAAAUUAUGUCAGUGCCACUUAAAUUGGGGUAAAAGAAAUAUUAUAAAUCAUAGUAAUUAAAAACUUAAAUUAUUUUUAAAAUAUAAUUGAUUAUCAAUGUCACAAAAGUUUGGACAGGGAGAGUAACGUAUAUUAUUUAAAAAUUAUAUAAAAAAAUAUUAUAAAUUACAAUAGCUAAUAACUUAAAAUGUCUCUCAACUUAUCAUACAUACUUACAAUUUGCAUUUGAUUGGUAUCAAAUUUCGAGUAUUUACUUUUUAACUUUAAAAUACUUAAAAUAUAAUUGAUGUUGGUCUCACGCUAACACGGGCCUCGCCUCCCUAGUAUCUUAAUAUAUCAUUCGCUAGUAUGUCUAAAUGAUAUCACUAAUGUACUUACAGUCAGGAUAACGUCAAUGUAUAAUUAAUCCAGUCAAUAAAUUUCUAAAAAGCCACUAAUAUAUUUUAUUUAGUCUAUCUAUCAUAUAAGUACAUAAAUUGAUAUUAUUUUAAUGAAUAUAUUGAACAUACACGUUUAUUUUACUGUAAUUAUUGACAUAUAGAUUAAUAAAUCAAUAAUAUUUGGUAAUGCAGAUCUACUUAGUGUAAUUAUCAAAUUAUAGGAUGGUCAAUCAAUAGCAUUGUACAAAAAUAUCAUUAAUUCACUUCUACUUACUAUAAUAUCAACUAUAAGCUAAUUAAUUACUUAUGGUAUUUUUCCCCAUUACCAAAUUUUAAGCUAAUAAAUCAUCAACCUUUACUCAAAAUGUCAAUAAAUAUUCUACUUAUUCUAAUUAUCACUUUCUCAGCUACUCAUUCAGUUAUAACUUUGUUGAAGUGUGUGUGUGUAUAUAUAUAUAGAGAGAGAGAGAGAAAUGUAAUAUAAAAGUAUGAAAAGAAAAAAUAAGUUUUAAAGGAAUUAUCAAGGGAUCAAAAAAUUGAUAUCAUUGGUAUUGUUUUUCGGUAAAUAUAUAAUAUAUAUAUAUAUAUAUAUAUAGUUAUUUAUUGUAUACUCAAUUUUAUAUAUUUAAUUUAGUGAGAGACUUCCGUUGCUAGAUUAAAAAACAAAAUAGAAAAAUAAUUAUAUGUGCCAAAUCGAGGGACUCCUUGGAUAACUUAUGUUUCAUUUCCAUUUAUUUUUUAUUAAUACAUUGUUGGUACCAACCAAAAAAAUCAUAAUAAUAACAUUUAAUUUAUUUUGAAAUACUAAUUUAUUUGUUAUUAUUCAGCGAGAGAGAGUCUCUCACCAUAAUUAAUUUAAUAUCAUCUUUUAAUUAUCAUCAUAAUUUAUACUUUCUAAAAAAAUGAAAAAAUAAAAUAUUUAACUUUAUUUUUAUUUUAGCCUAAUUUCGUGCUUUUAUAAAGCAAAAAAUUUAAUAGCUUGUUUGGUUGAAGUGAUAAGGAAAAAUACUUAAAUAGUAUAAAAUCUCUCAUAAAUAUAGAAAUUACAAAUUUAACUCAUGAAACCCUGAUUUGUCUAACUUACUCAAAUUUAUUAAUUUAUCUCAUUUAAAAAGAAAUUAGGCUGAUAAGUAGUACAAAUUAACCCAUAAAAAAAUUGUCAUAAUAUUUUUUUGGAGAUUAUAAAUUAUAUAUAGCUAUAAUAAAAAAAAAUAAUUUUAUUAAUUUGUCACAGAAUUAUAAAAGGACAAAUAAAAAAAAAUAAUAACUUAAUAAAAUUUUAUUUCUGUCCAACACAUGCAUGCCAUUUAGUCAAAAUAAAGCAAUUUAAUUUCUUUGGCCCAACAUUAUUUUAGUGAAACUGCCAACAUUUCUCUGGUUGCUUGAUUAUGAAAUGUCUCAUUAUAAUCACUUUUAGUAGUUUGAUAAAUAUGAUUAACUGACUAUAUUUAUGUAAUAUUAAAACUGGUUCCCAGCUAAUCAAGCACAAACCUCCAUUCACCCAUGUGCAUUUAUUUUGGGAUAUUUUCAAAAAUAUACCAUUUGAAAAAAAUAAUUACAUUAUUAGCUCGUCGCAUGGGGUUUAGCUAGUGCGGUUUACAUCUCUUGUGUGGUUUACGAGCGAUUGCACAAUGAAGGGUUUACCAAGUGCGCACAAAGUGCUCACCAUAGAGUGCUCACCCAAAGGGCAGAGGCUGUGGCAGAGGAUUGUAGCGGCUGUAGGUUAUCCUAGAAUUUCCAAAAAAAAAAAAAAAGCAUUAUGCAACUUUAUAUAAUAUUAUGAAUUUAUAGUAUACAAAUCUCUCUCUCUCUCUAUAUAUAUACUAGUUUAGUCUGACGUGCCCCACACGUGUAACAUUUGAUUAUUUAAAAUUAAAUGAUUUUAUCUAUUGCAAAGAUUUUAAUGAAGUGUAAAAGUUUAAAUCACUUUUAAAAGAUUCUUCACAUUUUAAUAUAAUAUCGUAAACAUAAACAUACUUUUUACUAUAAGCACAUAUAUAUUCUGCAUCAUCACUUUUUUUCAUGCAGUGCCUCCUUCCCUUGCUGCCAGAGGCUAAGAGAGACGCGUCAAUUUGAAUCAUAUUUGUGGUAUGGUUAUUUUUCUUUUUUAUUUCUAUAUUUAAAAUUCUUCCUUGUUUUUAAAGUCAAAGUUUUACAAAUUCAUUGUUAUUACGUACUUAAAACUUUUAUAUCUCUAUAUGAGAACAUGCAUGUGUGAAGAAAAUACUGUGCAAUAAGGUGAAGAAAAAGUAUAUAUAUAUAUAUAUAUANNNNNNNNNNNNNNNNNNNNNNNNNNNNNNNNNNNNNNNNNNNNNNNNNNNNNNNNNNNNNNNNNNNNNNNNNNNNNNNNNNNNNNNNNNNNNNNNNNNNNNNNNNNNNNNNNNNNNNNNNNNNNNNNNNNNNNNNNNNNNNNNNNNNNNNNNNNNNNNNAUGGUCCUAUAGCUACUUCAAAAACUCCCAUUUGCAGGUAUUAAUUAAUUAAUAUGUUAAUUAGUGCCACUUAGGUAUUUAGUAGAUAUCUUUUGAUUGACCUUACCUACGUUAAACUCUGAUCUAUUUUAUAAUUGCAUUCAGAGAGAAGUGUUAGAUAAUUCAAAGGAAAUGGUGAGAGAUGCAAUUACUCGAAAGCUUGACAUAAAAAAAAUCAUGUUAUCUUCUUCAAACACAUUAUGUCUUGCAGAUUUUGGAUGUUCAAUUGGACCAAACACUUUCAUUGCAAUGCAACAUGUUGUACAAUCUCUAAAAGAAAAAUACCAUAAUACCAACAUUCUUGAAUUCGAAGUAUUUUUCAAUGAUCAUGUCACCAAUGAUUUCAACACCCUCUUUCGAUCAGUACCCAUCGAUCGAUCCUACUAUGCAUUCGGAGUUCCAGGAACAUUCCAUGGUAAAUUAUUUCCAUCGCGAUCGAUACAUUUUGCACAUUGUUCUACUGCCAUACAUUGGUUAUCUAAGUGUCCAGAAGAGUUGUUAGAUGAGAAAUCUCCAGCAUGGAAUAAGGGAUUGAUACAGAGAGAACAUUUCUUUUCAUUUUUUGGGCAACUUGUUAAUUUCAACGUUUAAGACCACUGAAUUAAAAGACAUUUUGGUACAUUUCACGUAUUUUCAAUUUAGGCCACACGAUUCAAAAAGUAUUUUUUACUCUCUUGAACUUCGUACCAUAUCAAAAUAGAACAAUCAAUUAUUGAAACGGAAGGAGCACUACUUCUUCUAUUUCAAUUUAUUUGGCUUACUUUCUUUUUAGUCUGUUUCAAAAGAACGUCUCUUUCUUCUUCUAUUUUUUGAUAGUUUUUAAAUUUCAACAUUUCACAUAACACGUUUAAGAUCACAGGAUUAAAGAACAUUUUGGUGGAUUUCGUGUAUCUUUAGGACCCCGUUUGGCCAUACGUGAUAAAAUCAUGAUUUAAAAUUAUGAGAUAAAGUUGAAGUUUUGUUUGGACAUGCAAUUUGGACUUUUUCAUGUUGUAUAUUUUUUUAUGAAUAUAAAAACCUCAUAAGUUGUGAAAACUAUCAAAAUUACCACAAUUCGUUGCACAAUCUUAUCAAGUAAGCAAAAAUUUAUAACAAAGUUUAAUGCGCUAUCGUCACAAAGCUAUUAUAAAAAAAAAAAUUAGAACAUUUACUGAUUUAACUUUAGCUCAAUAAAAAAGUAAAAUUGAACAUAAGUUUAUAGUGCACUAUUCUUUAAUAUAAUCCUCCCACAUAGGUAAAGUGACAGUUGAUUUGAAGUAAUAAUAAAUUUUAUGUUGGUGAGAGUAAUAAUUAUAUGAGAUAUAAAUGAUUUAAAGAGUAAUAAUAUGAACUAUAAACUUUAUUUACAUAUGAAAUAAAUGGUUGUUAGAUAUAAAUGGCGGAGUAUUUUUCUUAUAAAAUAUAAACUUGUGGGUCAACUUUUGUACUUAAAAAAAAAUUCAAAUCACACUUUUUGGAAAAUUUGGAAUUUCAUAUCAUGAUAUGAAAUCAAAAGAUGAUAUCACAUGUCCAAACACUGAUUUCAUCUCGGGAUUUCAAAUUACACACUUCAUAUCGCAUGUCCAAAACGCCCACUUAGUUUAGUGACUACAAGAUUCAAAGUUCUUUUUUACUUUCUUAAACUUUCUGGCUAAUUAAAAUCACAUGAACAAAUUAAGACAGAGUAAUUAAUUGUAGCCAUACAUUUUUGGUAAUAGAUGCUUAAUUUUUAUUUUAUUUUUCGCCACAGGGAAAAAUAGAUGAAUCUUUAGUCAACUCAUUUAAUUUGCCAAUAUAUUUUCCAUCUCUUGAAGACAUGGCUAAAGCGGUGGAGAAAAAUGAUUAUUUUAGCAUAGAAAUAAUAGAAUUGACAUAUCCCAAAUCAAAGCUUGUGGAUGAGGCUGAUGCAAAGACUUUAAUAAUAAAUUUAAGAGCUGUUUUAGAAGUACUUUUCGUCAAUCAUUUUGGAAGUGAAAUAGCAGAAGAAGCUUUUGCAAGAACGACUCUCAAAAGUGAUGAAAUUUCAACAUGGAUGAAAACGAAUUACCAGAAAGCAUGUCAGUUAUUUGUCGCUCUGAAGCGUAAAUAAAUUUCUAUGGAGAAAUCUAUAUUAUAUAAUUCAAGUUUAUGGAGUGAUGUGACACGUUUCAUAUGUAGACUGGAAUUUCUAUUUUUCUAUUUUCUGAUAUUUUUGGCUUUCACUUAAUGUGCUCUAGAAAGAAAAUUGAAAAGUUCAUUAACAUUAUGAUAAUAUUUUCUUAGCAUGAAAUGAAUGACUUGCAAGUUUUGAUAUGACGAUAUUAAUAUAUAAAUAUCUUAAUGAAAGACUUUUUAAGUAAAAUAAAGAAAAAUAUUUUAAUUGGGCACAAAGAGAAUGUUGUAGUUACACCGCAAGGGGUCGUUUGGUGUGAGGUACUAAGGUAAAUUAUCCCGGGAUAAAAAAAUAGUCCCGAAAUAAACUUUUUUAUACAUUGUUUGGUUGGUAAUACUCGGGAUAACUUAUCCCGGGACUAAUAAUAAUCCCGGGAUAAGUUAUACCACAUAUUUGGUGGUAUAAGUUAUCCCAAGUUAAUUUAUCCUUGGAUAAAAUUAUAAAUGACAAAAAUACCCCAAACCCUUUUCUUUACACUUUCUCAUAUAUAUAUAUAACCUAGUUUAGGUGUACGUGCCUCGCGCGUGUACCUUACUAUAAUGAAUUUAAAUGCUACACUAAAUACGAUAUUUAUUCAAAUAGUAAGAGAAUUUAUUUAAUUAGAUAUAUAGUAGUUGUAAAUAUCAAAGAUACAAAUGAGGUAGGUGCAAAAUAUAUUGACAACCCCUUAAAUUACUGUUGGUGUUUUAGAAAGAAAAAAUAAUCAUAAUAUUUUAUAUGACUCAAAAUUUUGAUCAUUAAUUGUAUAUAUCAUCAUAAUCAUCAUUCAUCUUCAAGAUACCUACAAAAUUGGAAAAAAGAAAACUAGGAAAUCAAUGCAUCUAAGUAAAUUAAAUAUUAUAAAAAUAUAUUUCUUUGACGUAUCUUGGCAACCAAAAAAAAGAAGAAAAUUCAAAUCAAAUAAUAAAGAAUCAUUUAAGAACAAAAAUAAAUAUAUCUUGUUCCAUAUGUUCAUAUUAGAUAUUAUUGUAUUUUUCUAAAAGAAUUUUCAAUUUAUAGAAGUUCAAAACUUUUUUCUUCAAUAAAGAAAUUAUAUAAAUAUGAUUGAUUUUUACUUUUUUCAUUAAUUAUUUAUCAAUAAUAGAAUAUUUUAAAUUCCAAAUAAACUAAACUAACACAAAUAAGAGUGAUUUUUUNNNNNNNNNNNNNNNNNNNNNNNNNNNNNNNNNNNNNNNNNNNNNNNNNNNNNNNNNNNNNNNNNNNNNNNNNNNNNNNNNNNNNNNNNNNNNNNNNNNNNNNNNNNNNNNNNNNNNNNNNNNNNNNNNNNNNNNNNNNNNNNNNNNNNNNNNNNNNNNNNNNNNNNNNNNNNNNNNNNNNNGGGGGAGAAUGCGAUUUUAGUUGGGUUUGAAGUCCUAAAAUUAAUUAGAUAUUAUUAUGUAAAUAGUAAAAAGACGCUUUUAUCUAAAGGACAAUCUUUUAAUGAAGGACAAAAAGUUCAAAUCACUUUUCUAAGGGUCUUUACACUUUUAAAUAUAUAUAUAUAUAUAGUGCAGUAAAAUUUAUGCCGCUUCUGCUUGCUGCUGCUAGGCUCUUGAUAUCUACUAAAUUGAUAUACUGAAUCAUGAACUCAACACACCAGCUGAGAUAGGCGAUGAGAACCAAUGACCAUAGUUACGGAUGGGAAAAAGAGAAAAAAUAUAUAUAUAUAAAUACAAACAAUAUAUUGAUGGGAAAAGAGACAUGAAUUUCUAGCAAUGUAAAAGAGACAUAUUCUAGCUAUGUAAAAGAGACAUAUGAAUUUCUAAUUUGAUGGGGAAAAAAAAACCAUAUCAAUACAAACAAAAACCAUAUAAAUACAAACAUAAAAAUAAUUAACUAAAGUGAGGGUUAUUUUUGUAAACAAACAAUAUAUUUUUACAAACAAUGCAAUAUAUAUUAUUUUUAGUACCACAAACCAAACAACCACUACAAAAUAAUAUCAGUAUAACUUAUCCCAGCACAACUAUCCCAGCAUAACUUAUCCCAGCACAACUAAUCCCAGCAUAACUUAUCCCAGCAUAACUAAUCCUGGAAUAACUUGUUUUCAAACCAAACGACCCCUAAAGGUAUUGUCCUUGUGACUAACACUAAAAAUUACGUUUACUAACGUGGGAGGUCUUGUCCUGAAUAGAGAAUGACCGGUGGAUGCUUUCUUCGUGCAAUAAUAUACAGUUAAACUUAUGACAGUGGCGGAUCCACCUUGUAAUCAGUGAAGAGUUGAGGGCUAGAAAAUUCAGUAUCCAUCAAUCUCGACAUGCAACCAAAUCAAGUUAGAUGAACAUCAAUCAUAUUUUUUUAAUAAGUAAAUCGAUUUUUUCUCUAAAGUUCUAUUUUAAGAGUAUUUUUCUAUCCUAUUUUAGAAGUAUUUUUCUAAUUGAUUUGUACAAAGAAAAAUAUUAAUUGAUUCUCCUUCAUAUAUUUUAGGAGUCUAGUUAAUAUAAUAAAAAAUAAUUAAAUAAUAAAUUGAAGGAAAUAGUGAAAAGACAGUUUUAUCUAAAGAAAAAAAAUUUAACGAAGAAUAAAAAGUUUAAAUCACUUUUUUAAGAUAUUCAUAUUUUUAAUAUAUUAUAGAUUAAAAGUAAUGAGUGAUGGACCCAAUUGAUUGAUAGUAUGUGGACUAUAAUUAUAGAUUAUAGAUUAAAAGUAAUAAGUGAUGGACCCAAUUGAUUGAUAGUAUGUGGACAUUACGAUUCCAAUAAUCAAACAAUUAUUGGAAUAAAAAGUCACUUGGCUACUUUAAUUAGUUGUUAGUUUUAAAGAUUCGUUUGAUAGUGUAUAAAAAUAGUACUGAAUAUAAAAUUUAGUAAGUGAGAUUUCGAGUAUAUGUCAUAAAAUUUUCUUUUGUGCAAAGAAAUAAUUCAUCGAAAUAAUGAGUCAUUGUUGUUAUCGACACAUCAGAGAUCACCAGAUGCUCGAGAGUUCCUCUAUUCAAUUCAUUUCCUUCUUUUCAUACUUGAAUAUCUCGUUCGUACACAUCUUCUCUUUAUUUACCAAUGACAACAUCUUUCCCAAUGAGUGAUGAUGAUAGUGUUUAUAGUUACUCCAAAAACUCCCAAAUGCAGGUAUUAAUUUAAUUUAAUUUAAUUUGUUGAAUCUCUAUGUAAUCUUUGAUUUGGAAAAUCUCUCCAAGUUCAUAGCCAACAACUUAAAAGCACUUCCUUCCUUCGUUUUAUUUUACUUGAUCUCUGUUAACAUGACACACUCUUUACAAAAAUUUAAUUAGAGGUGUAUUUUACUAUACUAACGUUAUUAAUGAUGCUUUGAAAUUCUGAUAAAGUUUGGGAUUAACUUUAUCUCAUGUUUAAUAUGUAUGAACUAAUAUUUAGACUAUUAUUAUAUACCAAUUGUAGUAAAAUGCUGGAAUUACUAUCUCAUAUGAAGGGAAAUAAAAUAGUCUCGUGGGAUACGAUCCCAACACAUGUGAUAUUCUUAUCUAUCCACUCCGAUGUAUCAAACAACGGGUUGAUAGUUUAAGUAGCUAUUUAACACCGUACUAAGAUUAGUAUGAGAAAGAAGUAACAAAUCUCUCUUGAUUUGUGAAAACGGCUAAGUAAAUUGAAAUCUCUGCUUUUAUUAUAGGAGCCAAGUAAACUAAAAUGGAGGGAUUCAUAUUUUGUCUUUCUUAAAAUAAUUGAGGGCAAGAGAGAGGGAUUACAAGGUGUCACCAAUAAGACAGAAAGUUCAGAUAGUCAGCUAAUUGAGCUAAUUGAAUCAACAAGACAAAAAAUUCAAAUAGUCAGCUAAUUGAACUACACAAAAGCUGAACAAAAAAAACACUCUAAUUCUAACUCUGACGCGCGUGGUUUUGAGUGUAUACACGCAUUUUGCAAGACAGGAUUAGAGUAUUUUUUUUGUUCAGCUUUUGUAUAGUUAAAGAGCCCACUUGUGCAUUGAUAAAGUUAAAGGUCAUAUUUAUAAUUUUGUAUCCAGUUAAAGGUCUUGAUUAUGUAUUAUGCCUAUUAUAUAGUGCAUGAAGAAAGAAGUGUUAGAUAAGUAAUUCUUACGCUCAGUCUAACUCAUUUGGACUCCUUAGAGGCUUUAACCAUGGAACACGCAGAUAUCAAAAACACAUAAUUUCUUCGUUAAAUAUGACUUCUUUGGUUGGUGAACGCAUUAGAUAUUUACCUAAACCAGUAAGUCCUUGAGCGGAUCUCACGUUAGCCUCAAGGAGUUGGUUCCUAACUAUAAAAGUAAAUGCUUGAACUUGAAAAAUUCUCUGGUCCAGUAGAUUCGUAAAAUUCACUAGGAUAAGUUGUAUUAUAGAACCAGGCAAAACAACAAGCAACGAGAUCAAAGAUGGUUAAAGCCCCUAUAGUGUAAGUAAGAUAAAUAAGCCUCUUCAGAUCAUACUAAUACACAUCGAGCCCAUGCGAAGGAUUUGAUUAAGAUAUGUCAGAUUCCACCAAGUAUACAAAAGGAACCUAACCAUGUAUACAUAUCCUUCGAUUAUAUCUUCUAGAACCCCCCUCCCUCCCUCCAAAAGGAGAUUUUAGUAAAUAAUCAAAUACGAUGGUCGGGCUAAGGGUCAAGUUAGUAAUUUUUCUUACAUCUCUCCCUUCCGAAGCCCAGAUAUCAUAUACGCCGCCAAAACAAAAGGCCUUGAAUACUAGAAUAAAAGAAUCUAUACCUAACAAGAUUAAAUGAAUAACUAAAAUUGUGGUCAUUUUAUUUUAAUCUUUUUAGAUAUAACCAAAGAAGAAAAUAGAUUCUUCAAGCGCCUCCAAUAACGGAAAAGAAAUUAAAUAAACUACUCCAGAUACAAAAUAUGAAAAAAGUGUUAUAACAUCUUUCUCCCAUCCCCCACCCUAGAGUAACUAGCCCUCCACCCCCCCACCCCAACGCCCCACCCUCCACCCUAGAGUAGCUAGGUGGGGAAGUAAAAUUUAUAGCUUACUGCAAAUAUUAACCAUAAACUAAAUAUUUCAUUAAUCAUACCAAAAUUAUUACUAUUUUUUUCUUAUACAUCCAAUCAAGUGCGCUGCAAAUAUUAAUGAUCAUACCUCUUGUUAAUGGCAUUAAUGAUAUAUAUAUAUAUAUCAACAAAUGUUAAAUUCAAACGUGUCCAUUGGGAUUUCUUCUUCUUUGGCUUUUAAUUCAUUGCCAAACAAGUCCUUAAUUGACAAAGUGUGUAGUUAAACAAUGCAACAUCCACACACAUAUAUAUAUCACCAUACAUAUGUGAAGACAACAUAUAAAAAUAAGGAAAAAAAGAAGCAUAUUAUAUAUUAGUAUUUUCCAAAAUGACAACAUCUUUCCCCAUGAAUGCUAGUAAUAGUCCUUACAGCUACUCCAAAAACUCCUUUUUGCAGGUAAUGAUUUCUUGUUUUGGUAGGGUGUAUAAGAAUAAUGUUGAAUAGAGCGUACUAGUAAUGUUGGAAUUAAUUAUGUGAAAAUGGUACGUAUAUAUCCUUUAGUUAGACGGCGUGCACCACGUGUCCUCAUUUGAAAGAAAUUAACACAUUUUCCCUUGGUUAGCAAUUUAUCUCUGACCUGCCGGAAAAAAUGCUCUACGGCCGGAGUUAGAAGCGAGUUUCCCUCACGUGUCCUAUCCUAAAGAAAUGAUCUGUGACCGUAUUGGUUAUGAUUUGCCAAAAAUACGCAUAGGUGAAACUAGCUUCCAACUCCGGCCCGUAGAACAUUUCGCUGGCAGGUCAGGGCAUAAAUUGCUAAGGAAAAAUGGGCUAAUUCCUUUCGGAUGAGGACACGUGGCGCGCACCAUCUAACUGAAGCAUAUAUACGUUCUAUUUUCAAUAGUUCAGAGGUAUAAACAUACCCAAAGUUAGACAACAAGGGAACAAAUAACCCAAAAGUACAAUAAAAGGUAUUUACGUACCAUUUUCAAUAGUUCAAAGAGUAUAUAUGACCCUUUUCCGAAAAAUAAUUUUUGGUGUCAUACCAAAGUAACUGAACUUUUCCAUCUAUAAUAAUAGAAUCACUAAACUUUACUGUUAAAUGUGACUUUACUGUUAUAAUUGCAUGCAGAAAGAAGUGUUAGAUAGUGCAAAAGACAUGUUGCGAGAUGCAAUUAUUCAAAACCUUGACAUCAAAAUCAUGUUUUCUUCUUCAAAUACAUUACACUUUGUAGAUUUGGGAUGUUCAAUUGGACCAAAUACUUUCAAUGCAAUGCAACAUGUUGUACAAGUUGUAGGACUGCCAUGCUUAUUGGGGAUAUAGAUCCUGCUAGACUGAUGAUUCAUGCCCUAUAGAUUGGGGCAGAAAAGUUGAAGGGGAGAGAGAGGGGAGAUAAGAAGGCUAGAAUAGGAUAGUUUGAAUAUGGCCAGACAAAGUUUGGAAGGGGAAAUCGUUCACAGUUUCAGAGUCAUUCAUCCAUGCCAAUGCCAUUUUAAGCCAGUGCUCCCACCCCCAAACCUAGGAAGAAGUUGUGGAGUAAUACUUCAAUGUACAGAUCUCAUAAUAGUUUAAGUGGAAAACUCAGUUAUCCUUCUUGUGCUAAGUGUGGUAAGAAUCAUCCUGGUGAGUGCUUGUUGGGAUAGAAAGGUUGUUAUGGUUGGGGUAAUUUGGGUCAUGAAAUCAAAGAGUGUCCGCAUGCUAAGAAGGGGAAAAGGGAUGUUCAUCCCUAGACUCUGGCUACUAGCGUACUAGCUCCUUUGGGUCGCCCAGUCCCUCCUCAGGGCGCAUCAUCCAGUAUCGAUGGCAAUCAGUGCCAGAAUUUGUUAUAUGCUUUACCAUUUCAUCGGGAGCUGGAGAGUUCAUAAGAUGUUGUCACUGGUAUACUUCGUGUCUUUCAUCUAGAUGUUUAUGUGUCGUAAAAUCCUGGGUCAAAUUUCUCUUAUGUGACCCCACUAGUUGCAGUAAAUGUUGAAAUAGGUCUUGAAAAGAUCCCUAAGCCCUUCUUAGUUUCUACCCUAGUGGGUAAGUCAAUUGUUUCCAAACAGAUCUAUAUUCUUGAAUUCCAAGUAUUUUUCAAUGAUCAUGUCACCAAUGAUUUCAACACCCUCUUUCGAUCACUACCCAUCGAUCGAUCCUACUAUGCAUUCAGAGCUCCGAGAUCUUUCCAUGGUAGAUUAUUCUCAUCGCGAUUGAUACAUUUUGCACAUUGUUCUACUGCAAUACAUUGGUUAUCUAAGUGUCCAGAAGAGUUGUUCGAUGAAAAAUCCCCAGCAUGGAAUAAAGGAUUGAUUCAAUAUGAAGGUGCAUCAAAUGUUGAAGUGUUGAAUGCUUAUGUUGCUCAAUUUGAAAAGACAUGGAAAUGUUCUUAAGAACUUUUGGUGAAUGAGAUAAGUAGUUUGUUUGUCUCACUUUUGUUUUUAAGUAUCUUACAAUAAGAACUUUUAUUUUUUUUUUGACAACUUAUUAAUUAGUUUCAGUUUUUUAUGCAUGACACAUUUAUGAUCACAAGAUUAAAAGACACUUUGUUACAUUCUACAUAUAUUUAAUUUGGACCACAACAUUUAAAAGUCUUCUUUACCUUCUUAAAUUUCAUGUCAAAUCAAAAUAAACAAACAAAUUAAAACAACUUUCUUUUUUUGGCAACUUUUAAAUUUCAACUUUUCACUUGAUAUAUUUAAGAUCAAAAGAUUAAAGAAUAUUUUGGUACGUUCCACUUAUCUUUAGUUUUGAGACCACGAGAUUCAAUAAUUUUUUUUAAUUACUUUCUUAAAUUUCGUGUUUAAUCAAAAUCAAACAAACUAAACAAAAUUAGAGAAAAUGCAUUGUUUCCACCCUGAAUUAUAAACGAAAUUGUUGAGACAUACUCCAACUUAAAGGGGAUCCUAUAACCCUCCCCCCCCUCCACCCCAGACUAAUUAAAAUCGUAUUUUUGGCAACCUUAGUGCCUACGUGGUAUAUUGCGUGAAUCAACACACUGAAGGUCCACGUAGGCACAGUGAGGUUUUCAAAAAUACGAUUUUAAUUAGUCCAGGGGGUAAUAGGACCCCCUUUAAGUUUGGAUGUGUCUCAACAAUUUUGUUUUUAGUUUAGGGUGAAAACGGUGCAUUUACUGACAAAAUUAAGCGGAGUAACAAUUAUAGCCAUACAAUUUUAAUUUUGAUGUUUAUUUCUUUUUGGCACAGGGAAAAUUAGAUGAAUCUCUAGUCGACUCAUUUAAUGUGCCAGCAUAUUCUCCCUCUCCUCAAGACAUAACUAAAGCGGUGGAGAAAAAUGAUUGUUUUAGCAUCGAGAGAAUAGAGUUAACGUAUCCCAAAUCAAAGCUUGUGGAUGAGGCUAAUGCAAAGGCUUUACUAAUUAGUUUAAGGGUUGCUUUAGAAGGAGUUUUCAUUAAUCAUUUUGGAAGUGAAAUAGCAGAAGAAGCUUUUGAAAGGACUAUUCUCAAAAGCGAUGAAAUUUCAACAAGGAUGAAAACGAAUUAUAAAAAAGCAUGUCAAUUAUUUAUCGCUUUAAAGCGUAAAUAAGUUUCUAUAGAGAAAUUCAUAUAUUAUUAUAUAAUUCAGGUCUAUGAUGUGAUGUGACACAUCUCAUAGAUCGAAAUUUUUAUUUGUCUAUUUUUUUGAAUAUUUUUGACUUUUUCAUCGUACCUUUCACUUAAUGUGUUCUACAAUUACAUCAAAUACAUCAAACUACCCA